rnacentral:lncRNA from 1 species
GGGACGUCAUUUGGUUUCACAUAAAAUUAUGAAAAAUAAUUUCGAUAGAAAUAAAUUUUUAUUAUAAAAAAGUUUUAUGCUCUUUAACGUUUGGUUUGUAGGGAAAAAAAAAAAAUUCCAACUACACUUAUUUGGUUGAAAGAAAAGGAUGAAUGAAACCUAUUAUAUAUAUAUAAUUUUCUUCUAUUAUAUAUUAUAUAGUAUUUAUAUAUAAUAAUUACCAUCUUAUGUAUAUUAUUAUUAUAAUUUAUAUUUAUAAAUUAAAUCUAUUUAAAAUGCAUUUUAUGAUAUAUAAUGUAAUGUAAUAAUAUAAUAUAAUAUAUAUUCAACAUUAGAUAAUAAAUAAAUAUAUAUAUAUAUAUAUAUAUAUAUAUAUAUAUUUAUAAAUAAAAUAAAAUAUAAUAAUAUAUUAAUGUAAAGAGGGAGAGGGAAAGAGACAGUGAGAGAGGUCCACCGUCCACACCUCUCUCACGUGGUCCACGAGGUCCUAGGUCACGUCAUGGACCGCAUGCGAGCAAUUUCCAUGAGCCACAAUUCUCCCUCAAACAGUUUUUGCUUUCUGCGGCAAAACAAAGCAGAAAAAGAAAUUUUCAAUUUUCUUUCUUUUGCUGUAACGCCCCAAUAGUCCCGUACCGGAUGGUAAAUUGAUUCCGAUUAGAAUAUGAGACCUACACGCUAGUAAUAAUAACUGAGCUUAGGUAUUUUGGCUCGGUAGUUUGGCCGAAUGAGUUUUUGUUGCUGGCGGGUCGAACAAAAAUUAAUUUUUGAGCCGAAAAUAAUUUUCAGCUUAGUUUUAUAUCUAACUAACCACACUCUUAACCAACAAAACAUUCAAGAUACCUUGUUCGAUGAACGUCGCAGCCACUAUUUUCUAAACUUCAUAUUUUAUUUUUCUUGAAACUAUAGGCAUUAUUUGGACAAUACAAUUCCAAACUGAGCCUUUAUUAUUAUUAUUAUUAUUAUUAUUAUUAUUAUUAUUAUUUUGUUGAGAAAAAAAAAAAUGGUAGCCCCAAACAAUGCGUUAAACAGAGUUGUUGCGCGUGCAGAUCAAAUGGAUUUGCCCCACUGCAUCGACCCGCCCUGUAGCAGCUUUUGGUGGAUUCCCUUGCACUGCAUGUGAGUUUCUCAUUCUUUACCUUGCCAUAAUAAUUUUUAGAGUUAAUUUUAUACAGGUGAAUGACAACUAUAUUCCUAUAAAGUUUAAUCUUUAUAUAUUAUUUUUGUAAAAGUUCUGAUAUUAUCAAAUAUGUCACUCUGAUUUGUUAUCGUUAGAGAACCGUUAGAGAAUUGUUUAUAUUUUUUAUCAUUACAAAUUUGUCCCUCUAAAAACCAUAACAUUGUAAUAUAAGAUAAGUAAAAAUGUCAAAAAGUAAUUAGGGUUAAGUAUUUAACCUAUGGUUAACUAAAUUUUUCUAACGAAUUCUAACAACAGGGAUAUAUUUGAGAACAUCAGGACUUUUCUACGGACAACAUAUGAAAGUUGAACUUUAUAAAAAUAUUUUUGACAUUCACUAUGUUUGCAGAAAUCUGUAUGAAAUUAACCCUAACUUUUACCCCCUUUUAUUAACUAUUUAAAAUUUAAAAUGACAAAUAAUUUUACAUAUAUAUUGCAGUAUAUAUUGUUGUAAAAAAUAGAUAGCAUGCUACCCGUUUCGUUUAUUUCAUUUAGAAAUAAACUUAGCUGAAAAUGUGAAUCAACUAUCAUUCGAAUUGGAGAUUUCGGAUACCAACCACCAAACCCUUAAUUGUCUCUGUUUGUUGAUUAGGGUUUGAUGUCGAGGACACUUCCCUGGACGGCCGUGAUGAUGUCGAGGGGUUGGAUGCAUCAGCUGCUCAUGUGGCAAAUCUUUUGUCAGCUGAACCUCCUGAGGGUAACUUUACUACAAAAUUAAUUAAUUUUGCGCCUCGUUUGGCAUCAUUGUUGCUGCUUAUAUUUUUAUAUAUAUUUUUUAAAACAAAAUUUUUAUAUGCUUGAAUUUAUUGGCCGGCAAAUUUUUUUAUUCUUGUCAUGAUUUGUUAGCUUGAAAUGCAUUGGAUGAAACAAAGAGUAUAAUUUUUUUUUUCAAAAAAAAUUUAGAAAGAAAAGAGAAACAUUACUUUCGAUUUCUUGCUUUUUAUUGAUAAACAAAUGCCUUGGAUGCAAGAAUGACAAGCGGUUCAUUAUUCAUUUAUAUACACACAUAUUUAUAAAUAAAGUUUUAUUUAAUAAAAUAAAAGAAUGCACAACAAGACCAUAAUGUAAAUGUUUGAGCUAACCAUAUAUAUUAUAAACAUUAUUAGCUUGAUUUUGGUUAUUGGAAGUGAUUAUUUAUAUAUUUAGAAGAAUACAUUGAAUUGUUGCAGUAAAACUUGGCAUUGGAGGGUUUAGCAUGGGAGCAGCUACAGCCCUCUACUCUGCUGCUUGCUACACUCAUGGAAAAUUUGCAAAUGGCAGUCACUACCCAAUCAGUCUAAGUGCAGUGGUUGGUUUAAGUGGUUGGCUCCCCUGUUCAAGGUUUGUUUUAUUUUGUUACCAUGCUAAAUAUUUCAACUAGCUGCAUGUUAUUUGCAAUAUGUACUUUUGAAAAUUUUCUCAUAGUUGUUAAUUACGAGAGUUUUGAAUAAAUGAUUUUGUAUGUUGAUAUGACUCGAAGUAUUUGUAGUUUCUUUUAGUAAGAGCUCUGUUAUGUAAGAUUAAGUAGUCUUAAAAGUAACAAUUUAACGGCUAAUAUAAAGCGCUCUUAAAAGUACCAAAUUUAACCGCCGAUAAAAAAGUUAUUUGGAACGAUGUAGAUGAGUUUCUCUUAGAAAUUGUUUUUUAAAAGUCUAAACUAAAGUUAAUGACUUUUUGUUCUUAGUUGAAGAAUCCUAUACUAUAUAUAUUAAGAUGGUUCAACUUUUCUUCCUCCCCUGCCCUCUCCUUUUCUUUUCUUUUUAAAAGUGCGAGUAUUUACGAUUGCGAGCGUGUAUGUGUGCAUAUAUGUCCACACACAAAUGUGCAUUUAAAUUUAUACAUGCGUAAAAUCACAAGUCGUAACAUUAUCAUGUGUUUCCAUGAUCAGGAGCCUGAAAAGCAAGAUUGAAAAUUCACAAGGCGCUUUUCGACGAGCCGCGACUUUGCCGCUUCUGCUUUCCCAUGGGAGAGGUAUGUAUAUAAGAAAUUGAGUACAAAUAAGCUAAAUUAAUAACUGAGGAGCAGGUUUCAAUUUGUUCCAUUCAAUUUACAACUAUUGUUUGACCAUCUAUUUAUCGAAUAAUCAAUUAGGUUACAAGAUCAAUUGAAAUAAUGGUAAUAAAUCUUUGUAAUAAAAGAAGAUGGUUCAUCUUCAAAUAUUGAUCAAUUGAAAAUAAAAAAAUAAAAAAACUAACAUCUACGCAGUGGACUCAGUUGAUUGUGCAGUAACCUUUUUUCUAACUACAAAGGAUUGUAGAAAUUAUAAGUGCAAGAAUAAAUUAUUUUAUUGUUCAAAUGUUUCUUUAUAUUGAGCAGGUGAUGAGGUUGUUCGCUACAAAAACGGCGAAAGAUCAACUGAAAUUUUAAGAUCUUCCGGAUUUUCCAAUCUUACUUUCAAAACUUACAGCGGGUAUGUACCAGUUAACUUACAAAUGUUCUCGUCAUGAAAAGAAAAAGAACGCUACUUUAUGAAACUGUUAACCAUGCAGACUAGGGCACUACACAGUGCCAGAAGAGAUGGAAGAUGUCCGCAAGUGGCUUACCGCGAACUUGGGGCUCGACCGUUAGUACAAUUAAUAAGAGGAUUCAUGCUUGAUAUCUUAUAAUAACAUGCAUAAGUGAAGGAAAUAUAUCAAUUACUAGAGAUAUAUAUUAGUUUGCAUGCAGGAUGAGGUUGAUUAGUUAUGAAUAUGUAUAUGUUUUACUUGCCUGUUGUGGCAUUAAUUAGCUUGUGAGCCUUAGUAUAUUGUGUUUGAUGCAUCAUUUUCUUGUACUUAUUGCUAUUUAUAGAGAUUGCAGUAUUAAUAUGAAAAUUUUCCAUUCCUAAUGUGUAAUGAGGUGGUUGUUAAUUACUUUGGUUUGUUAUUUGAUCACAUCUUGUUAUUAGAGUUGAAUUUGCGCCGAAGGUUAUCAAAUUAACCGCAAGUUUACUGCAAAUUUAGGUGACUGACAACAAAACGUUUUGCGUUGAAGGUUAUCAAAUUAACAACGACAAAUAAAAAAUACUCAAAUUUUAAUGUAUCAGCAACGGUAACAAAACCAUUCUUUAGAAGAUACAGCAGAAGAUAUAAAAGCUAAAAUUUAUAAACAUUCACUGUUCAGGAACUAAAAGUCAUAGUUCAGUUUGAACAACGGAAAUACACUUUUUACCCAAUAUUUCAGAAAAUAAGGAAAGAAAAAGAAAAAUAAAUGCAUUAUUUUUCUUUCAUAACUCAGACUCUAUAGGCAAGAUCAGUAUUCAUAGCUUCGUUACCUUGAUGCAAAUUCAGAUAAAUUUGUCUUUCUUCUCCAACAGUAAUGUUGCUCUGAGAUGACGGAAUUGAUGUAUUGGAAUUCGGUGAACUUCCUUUCACACCAUUUUCGCUGCAGUCAAAUAAUACAAUUAUUCAAGUGCAUUUGUCAAAUUACACAUAUUUAGUAGUGAUAGUUGAGUAGUUUUCUUAAGUAUAUACUGACCUUAUAAUUAGUAAAGAUUGAGCUGAUGCAUGGGGAAGCAAAGGAAUGUGUUGUUCAGAAAAUGCCACUGCGCUCGCUACUCGGUGGUCUAUGCUUGCUUCUAAUUUUCUCACGUUUUGCAUUGGUUCAGAGAUUCCGACGCUUUCUUUACACAAAUAAAGAGGAUGCUUAAACAAGGAUAACAAUUUCUUUUUAUUUUUAGACACAAAACACGAAUAACGGAUUUAUCAACCGAGAAAGCACUUUUCAUUCUAAGGUGUUAUCCUUUAUCAUUGUGUCAAUGAGGUGCGACAAAGCUUACAUUUAUUUGUACAAUGAAGUUAUCAUAUUCAUCAUCUCUUGGCUAUUUUAAUUACAUGGUAUUUUAGUUGCUUCAAAGGUAAUGAUUUUUUUUAAUCUUUUCGUGAUUGGAAUUCUCGACAGUGAAAAAAAAAAAAAAAGUGUGCAAAAUCAUGUUGUAGAAAAGUUUCUUGAAACUGUAAAAAAAAAAUUUAUAUAUCUUACCCAUAAACCAUGUUUCUACCUUCAAAUUCACCGAAACUAUUAUGAAACGAAUCUUACUAUUGUUGCUGCAACAAUUUAAUUUCUUAUAGUUUGGCCAAUAACAUUAUAAGUAACAUGCACAUAAGCAUACAAUUAAACCUGGAAGCCAUAAAUUUCUUAUACGAAAAAAUAUACUUUAAGCAUGACUUACCAAUAUUCCUGCCAAAUAGGUUCUUACAAUUCCUGCAUCGGCACUGCGAUGAGCAUCCUUCUUGACUCUUUAGAAAAUUAAGCACAAAAAUAAAAUGAUUAAACCAAAUAAGAAUGCAUUGAUAAGGAGGAACAUCCUACGUUAGACGUAUCAAAAUAUGCGACGAGAGAGCAGCAAACCUUAUAGCAUUCGCAAUAUCUUUUAAUGCACUGGGACUUUUCGCAAUUACAUCCGCUCUUUCGAGUACGAUCCUGCGAAAUUGAAAUCUAAUGAUGUCAUAAAAAUUCCUCACUAAAAUUGAGGGGAAAUAAAGAAAAAAAAUCCUACCGCAUUGAUCGCAUGUCGAUUGGAAAUUUCUGCACGUGCGAUAACAUCAGACACUUCCGCCAUAUGUUCUUUGUUAUUGUGGCAAUUUUUGCAUCCGCAAUGUUCGUUGCAAUAUCUUUCUCUGCUCAAGCAUCCACAGUAGCUGCACACGAGAAAAAGAUGUAUUAGAAAAAUAAGCGACAACACCGGUCCUUACGCAUAAGAGCAGCAUGCAAAAGCAGAAGCACUCACAAUUGCAAGCACUGAGACUUCUCACACUUGCAGUUUGGGCCUUCCACUGCAGCCUUCUUACAAGUCCUAAACAAUUCAGACCUGUUAGUGAUUAAUAAUGUAAAAAAAAAUAAACACACAUACACAUACACACUUAAAUAGUGUAUACUUUUUAAUGUGUGUAAAGGAGAGAGAGAGAGAGAGAGAGAGAGAGAGAGAGAGGUAACUUGCCUGAUACUUGCAGGAAUUUCUCUUACUGAUACUGGCAUACGUUCCGACAGGCUCAAAUCUACAAUUGCAUCCCGUUCUACGGUGUUGUUCAUUGAUAAAUCUCCAAAAUUGUCGAAUAUAUUUGAUUCGAGUGAGCUGGGAUUUUGCAUCAAAUCUUCGAAGCUGCAGAUAUCGGAACUGCGUGUCUCUGGCACGCCACAAGAAAAUGUAGAGACGCGAGGGAAAAUAUCGCUUUGCAAAUUCAUCGCGAGCUCUGUGUUACUACCGAGCUUAGACUCGAUAUAAUUCGAUGAGUUUUCGUGAUAUAUGUCGCCAACAGAAUUAUUGGCAAUAGGCGUAGAUGGAAAAUGCAUCCUUGCGCCACUCGGGAGCUGCGAAGUCUCCUAAUUUUACGUAGCAUGAAGAAGAGUAAAUGCAAUGAUCAACACUUUGAAAAAUAUUUUGCGAAUUAAAUUCAAUUGAACCAUUUUAACCUUUUGAGGAUAUAUAGUUCAUACUGAAUGAAAAUCUCUAAAAGAGAUCACAUUUAACAUGAACCAGAACUUCAAAAUUUUUCACUUUGAAUUUUUAUUAGACUUGGUAUGAAUGAAUACAAUAUGAAAUAAACAGAUUUUGAUAUGGCAUGAACCAAACAUUCAUAUAACUUUGGUAUGAAUUAGUAUAACUAGAAAUUUUUACAAGAAACUAAUUAAUGUUCAUUUGAUCAGAUUUUCAGUACUGUAAAGAUUUUAUAAACAUCCAAUGCUAACAAUUUUUCGACAUUUAAUCCAUCCACUGCUGAAUAUAAGUUUUCACACGCAAAAAUCCCACCUAAAAUCAAAAAAAAAAAAAAAAAUCUAAAUAUCAAAAAUCAUAAUUGUAUUCAGCAAUUGCUCUACAGAACAUUCAAAAGACCUACACUUUAAAAGUUAUAAAUUAAUUCAUCAAGUGCACUUUAUGAUAUUCAAAAAGCCAAUAUAUCAAAAGUUAAGACAUCUAGAUAAUCAUUUUUUAUCUUUUUUUUAGAACUAUUAUUGCAUUCCCAAGUAAUAGAUUUUUAAAAAAAUUUUCUGAAGCCCAUUUUCUCCCGGUGGCUUUGAAUUAAAUCUUGUAAUUCAAAUUACAUCCUAACUAUAAUCUUUUUUGUUCAAAUAAAAUUAAUAGAUUUAAAAUCUAUAUAGUUUUUUACUUUUUAUAAUUUUAUCUUUGUGAAUAUUAUAUAUUAUAUCCGUACAAAUAAGGUGUGACUAUAAAUUAUAUUAUAUAUUAUAAUAUUUAAUGUAUGAAUUAUAUAUUAUAUCCUUUAGAAGUAAGGUGUAAAAAAUUAUAAUUUUUUUACAUAUUAAUGGUGUAUCCAUUGCUCUCCCAGCUAGCUUGGAUAGCUGGGAACUCUAUUUUUGAUGGCUUAUGUGGGCCGGGCCGGGCCGGUUUUCUAAAACAAUAUAUAAAACUUAAAUAUAUGAACAAUAAAUUAUUUCUAUUUAAAUUGAUAUUUGGAUAAAAAAAUUUAAAAAUUUAAAAAAUAAUAAUAAUAUAACAAUUUUUAAAUUUUCUAAAAAAAAAGAUUGGAUUUUUGGUCGGGGGCGGGAGGCGGCUGUAUUGUAAUCCCUUUGCUUUGGUUCCAGUUUUUCCUUUUUAAGCAAAUCUUAAAUUGAAUCAAAUAUCUCGAUUUGAAAAAAUUUAUUGAACCCAUUUAUAGUCAAGACCAAUCCAAACUAAGCCCAAACUAAUUUGAUUUGAUUCCGUUUUAUAAUUAAUUUCUGAUUUUCUUAUUUUUUGUAAAUUAACUUAUAAUUUAAGAUUCAAAAUUAAAACCAACGCACAAGAAAUUUAAUUAUAAAGAUAGAAUUUUGAUAAAUGUAGUGGUAUAUGAUCAAGAUUUGAUCAUAGUCAUAAAAUUUUAAUAAAUAGUUUUGAUGCAAAUAAAAAAAAACCAUUAAAAAAAGAAGCAGGGACAGAAAAAAUUCACAGAAAAAGAUAGAAAAAAAAAAAAAAAAAUCAGAACCUGGACAUAGGAUUGGAACAGUGCAUUUUCUUGGCCAUUCAUAUUUUGCGUAUCUGGAUUAUCAUGGAGCUCCAUAAUUUGCUCUUCGUGUUAUUUUUUAUCAGCUUAUCUUUGUUUUUAUUUUAUGUCGGUGUAUUUAACGAAUACAAAAAGUAUGAACUUUUGCAAUAAUAAAAACAAAAACUUCGAUAUAUAAUUUAUAGCUGUUGAUUUUUUUUUUUUUUUCCUACUAGUAGUAGUAUAGCAGUAUUGGAGGGAAUAUCUGUUUAAUUUCUGAAAAGUAUGCAUGAGGAAAUUUCUAACUAUUAAUAUGCAACAUAAUCUUAUGCAAUUGGGUGAUCAUUAUCUCUUCAAGUUUAAGAACAUGCAACGUGAAAAAUAAAAGGACGUGAAGGGUUUAUGUGAUCGUAUUGUAUCUUGUAUAUGUACUUAAAAGUAGAGAAAAUUUAGGAAGCCGUAUAUACGGUUUACGUACGUAUACCAUAUACAUACAAAUUGUAUCUUGUAUAUGUACUUAAAAGUAGAGAAAAUUUAGGAAGCCGUAUAUACAGUUUACGUACGUAUACCAUAUACAUACAACUUGGAUUGUUAGAGAUAAAAUAAAAUCCAGCGUGCAAAAAAGAUACACAGUAACACCCUCAAUUUUAUUUUUUUGGGAUAAUAUCUUAUAAUUUUGUUAGGAUCAUUUGCCCUUUUUACGGAAUAAACAGUUAGAAUUGAUCAACGCUUUGAAUAAGUUUAAUAAUUUUAAUUAACGGUUAUUCUGUUUUUCCAAUUAUGUCUCCUAAUCGCACUAGCAUUAAAAUUUAUUAAAUAAUAAAUUUUAAUUAAAAACUCAAAAGUACAAGAUAAGAUAAGAUCUCUAAAUUUAUCUCUUGUAUUUAGAUCAUACAAUCCUAAUCUCAAUAGGAUAAAGUAAUGAGUAAAAAAAAUAAAUAUUAGAAACACACCCUUCAGUAGAAACCAAACAAACCAAACAAACGAAAAAUAUUUUUUCAAUAAAAAAAAAUUAUUUUUUCUCAAUUAUUUUCAGAAAACCCAAACACCCCAAAGCCUCGAGAAAUUGGGAGCACAAACCACCCCACACCCUACCCCUUUUCUUGCGGAUUUAUAAAAUUAAAAAAAUAUAUAUUACAAAGAAGGCCAAUUUGCAUAAAAAAUUCACUAGUUUUGCAUUUUGCAAAAGUGGGCCACUUUUUUCAUUUUUGCAGAUUCCGACCGAAUUUUCAACCGCCUGACCAAAAUGCCCCUUGUAUACAAAUGCCUUCCGUAUAUUCCUUGAGAUACGUAUAUCUUGCUGUACGAUCCUAGCGGAUAUUAAAUGCGGCGCCAUGCGCUUUAACCUAGCUCUUUUUCGGAACUCAAAUCACAUUCGUCCUGUUAUUCGCCAGCCCCGCUGUUUGGUAUUCGGCUUUAAGAAUUGGAGCAACGCGAGAAAAAAUGGUGCAACAGCCCUGCUAACAGUGCAUCCAUCGACUCACUCCAGUGCAAUCUCCACCAAAGCAGUACUUCGCCUCACUAAUCACCUUCUCGGUUAAAUCGUUCAAAAACAUGUCUGCCGCAAUUGCAGUACCUAUGGUCUGAUAAAAGAAAGUCGUGGAGUAUAUGCACCUCUGGCCUUCCGCCUCCUCCAGUAUAUGCUGGUAGGCGUCAAUAACAUCAGAGCUAACAAAUGCCGUGUGACUUGUUAGGUCGACAAAGUCACUCCGCCCGAUGUCAAUAUUCUUCGAAGGCACUCUUAUCGCAUUGGUGGUGCUUGUAAGGAAAUUUUCAAUGCGCUAUUGAUGCUCCUUUAGUAACUCUCCCUUGCCAUAAUACUUUAAAUCCUAAGGCGCUGACGAUUUUGUGAUCUUCAGUUUUAGAUUUUUGCCCUUUUGUAUUUUUGAUGUUUCUUCCGGGGGGGGGGGGGGGGGAAUUUUGAUGAUUAAUGAGGGUUGUUCACAAAUUAAUGAAAGAGUAAGAUAUUUAGGAAAUUAUACCAUUGCUGCCUUAUUUACACUAUUAGAAUUAAUAUCGCAUUACUUAUAUGUAACGUUGCAAGAUUGACAAACCUCUAUAAUGCUGAGUUUCGGCAUGGCAAACUUCGCUGCUUGUGCACCUCCCUAUACUUGUUAGGGUCGGCGGCUACACAAACAGCGAAGAGACGCCUGGCGCGUGACUCGAUGGCGAGAAAGGCGGCUACAUAAGCAAGGAAGUCUGUCAUGCCGGAACCUAACAUUAUAGAGGUUUAUCAAUUUUACAACGAUACAUUUAAGUAAUGCAAUAUUGAUUCUAAUAGUGUAGAUAAGUGCAGCAAUGGUGUAAUUCCCUGAAUGUCUCAUUUUUUUAUUGAUUUGUGAACAACUCCCAUUAAUCAUCGACAUCCCCCCUCGGAAGAAACAUCAAAAACGCAAAAGGUAAAAACCUAAAACUGAAGGUCGCAAAAUCGUCAGCUCCCCAGAAUUUAAAGUAUUAUGGCAAAUGAAAGUUACCAAAGGAGGAUCAGAAGCGCAUUGAAAAUUUCCUUACAAGCACCACCAAUGCGAUAAGAGUGCCUUCGAAGAAUAUUAACAUCGAGCCGAGUGACUUCGUCGACCUAACAAGUCACAUGGCAUUCGUCAGCUCCGAUGUUAUUGACGCCUACCAGCAUAUACUGAUGGAGGCGGAAGGCCAGAGGUGCAUAUACUCCACGACUUUCCUUUAUUAGACUAUAGGUACUGCAAUUGUAGCCGACAUGUUUUUGAACGAUUUGACCGAGAGGGAGAUUAGUGAGGCGAAGUAUUGGUUCAUCCCGCUCUUCGACUUCGAUCACUCUUCUCGUCCAUUAAAAACGCUAAAUACAACACUGAGUUUGAAAAAACGAUAAGUAUUUCCUUAAUAGUUUAAUAUUGUGCCAGGAUUACCUUGUUAUAUUCUAAUUAGUGCAACGUUCUCUUAUGUAGUGUGAUUUUGUGAAAAAAAUUUUGCAAAAUAAUCUUCCCGAUUAUUUUCGCCGCCGCGAGACCCGUUCCGUCAACUGGGAAAAAAUAAAUAUGAAAGAUAUCCCGAUGCAAGAUCAGUCAAAUGACUGCGCAAUCUUCAUUUUGGCAUACGAAGAAUACUUGCAGAAGCGGUGGAACGAACAUGGACAUCCCGUCGCUGAUCUGCUUUGAUGGAAAUUGCACUAGAGCGAGCCGAUGGAUGCACUGUUAGCAGGACUGUUGCACCAUUUUUUCUCGCGUUGCUCCUGGGCAUUGCACUAUUAUCUCUGUUGCGGACCAUGCAGUUUUUGGCUUUUAGCUUCAGAUAUUUUAAAUUCUUAAAGUCGAACACCAAAUAGCGGGGCUGGCGAAUAGCGGGGCGAAUGUGGCCCGGUUUCCAAAAAAGAGCGAGGCUAAAGCGCAUGGGGCUGCAUUUAAUGCCCGCCAGGACCGUACGGCAGGGUAUACGUAUCUCAAAAAAUAUGCGGAAGGCAUUUGUAUACGAGGGGCAUUUUGUUCAGGCGGCUGAAAAUCCGAUCCGAAUCUACAAAAAUGAAAAUGUGGCCCACUUUUACAAAAGCGCAAAACUAGUGGAUUUUUUAUGCAAAUUGGCCUACAAAGAAUUUAUGCAACAUUUAUGGGGGUUAAGCACAAGUAUUUUAUAUCUUCUGCAUCAAAAGCAAUACAAGGGAAAGAAAAUGAAUUUUCCGCAAACUCAGGCGAGCAACAGCUUGUUAUGCGAAGUCAAGCAAAAGAUACAGCGACGACAGUCUCGGCGAUGAGAAGCUGAUCUUUACGUUGAAAAGGCUUUAGGAUUCGCCGCUUUCUUUUCCGAUGUCCACAAGCAAUUCCUUGAGUUCGCCGUUCUGUCUCGAAAAGAAGAAAAAAGGUUUAAUUCUCUUUACAAAUGAAGUAGAAAAUGAGAGGUGGAAACAAGAAUCUACCUGAUGCAUGUUUAGAACAAUAUCAGAUCCUCCUACGAACUCCCCCUUUAUAAAAACCUGGGGAAAAGUCGGCCAGUUGCUGUUGCAAACAAAGACAAAUUUAGCUGAGUUUCAAACAAGGUAGCAUCGAGUAACGCUCCAAUGAAACGAAAAAAGUAAAUGUAGUACAAAAGCCUAUACAAAUAGCGUGAAUUGAAUUGCCAACACAAGGGUUUCAAGAUUUUGUAGAUAGCAUACGCGCACUCAUAAUUUAUCUUCAAGUUUACAAUCAUUAAAUUAUCAACACUAUAUAAUAUUUACUUACGAAUAGGCUUUUACACCCUCUUUUAGCUCGGGAUUUUCUAGAAUAUUCCUUGCACUUAUAGGGACUCCUGCAUGACAUUGACAGACCACCAAAUCUUUCACCUUCUUCGUUCAGACGAAACCGUUCAGCUACAAAAGAAAAUUGAAAUCCGCCAGAUUUUGAACAGUACAAACAUUACCAUAGUGCUGCAAGACUUUCACAGCCAAAGCACUGAAUCCACACUGCGGAGCAUCUGGAACACCCUUCAUGUAUACCAUCACUGGGUUUUCCUUAACAUCCUAGAGCAAAAGAACAUGAUCAAUCAAACAUAUAAAGAACCUAAAUUUCCCUAAAUCAAGUGUGAGGAUAGAUUCUUCGUCCAUGGGAUACAUUGAUUUAUACAGACGGCUUAUGACAAAUAGGUGAAAGAGAGAAAAACCUGCUGAACAACAUCAUGCACGGAGAUUCCCGAAAUUCCAAGAUUGCUGGCUGGUCGGAAAUCUUCGUGUGUAUCUGAAUCUCCACCUGUCCUCGUUGAGUAUUUCGCCCAUCGCUGGAGUCCUAAUCCCAAUGCCACCUACUCACUCAAAUAUUGGGAGAACAAAACAUGAGAAAGAAAACUGAUCAGGGAAUAAUCAUUGUUUGAACAGGAAAGUAAUUAAGCCUUUUGAAAGAGAACUGAGUGGAAAAUAUUGUCUCGAUUAUCUGAUAAGGUGGUGGCACAUCCGGCCCUACAAUCUUCUUUUAUUUUACUCAUUUACAUAGUAAGAAUAGUCUUGGGUUUAGGAAAGCUUAUAAUAGCAAUCAUAGGUAUCAUCUGCUCUUCUUCCAUAACUUUUGUUGCAAGAAAAGGAGAGUAUACAUCAGCAUAUAUAGAACCAUAAUUUUAGUUCAGGGCUCUUUUAUGGUCUACAAGACUACCCAUCAAGAGAUUUGGCAUCACUAGAAUUAAUGUAACUACAAAUAUAGUACUCAAGUAGACAGAUUUUUUUUUUUUCAGUUUAGACAUCUUAUUAGGUUAAAAUGAGAAAGAGAAACUAUGGAAAAAUAAGACACAUGUGAGAGCUACAACUAUAUCGAGAGCAGCCACCGACCAUAUCUAGCGCAGUUGGUUAAAGACUUAAUGUGACAACAUUAGGAUUUGAAAUAAUCCUAUAUAUCCUAUUAUAGGGCUAAACCGCUUAGCCCGGUUAUAGUAUUUUGGGCCGAGGAUUAUUUUCAGCUAAGUUCAUUUCUAAAAAAAAAUGAACAAAAAAGGUAACUUGCUAUUUUUCUCUCUCUCAAAAAAAAAAAAAAAAAAAGUUGUAUCGAGAGCAGCCAACUUAACCGAAAGCUAUUUUUCAAGGCUAGAGGCCUUCACUAGGGGAACAUGAUUCUCAUGUAAAUCGUAUUACGUAUCAAUCUUAUCUUGUUCGGAAGAGAAAAAGCUAUCUUGAUACUGAGUACAUGAAAUUGGCUUCAAAUGCGACACCAAUCCUCUACAAAAUGGACAUAAGAUCAUGCUCGAAGCAGAACUAAAUAGAAUGAUUUCUCCUAGGAAGAGUUGCUUUUUCUAAAUAAAACUCAGAAUGGAACUAAAAGAAACACCAUAUGUGGUGAACCAAUAAUGCAUUUACCUUCGUUUUUACCGUCGAAUUGACGCUGUUAAAGGCUACGCUAGCCAACGAUCUAGCCAUACCUGUAACGAGGAUACCCUCGAAUCUUCAACUUGCAGCAACUAGAGGAGAAAUCCUUCAAUCAGAAAUAGAAUAUGGAUUGAUAAAGCACACGAAUUUUUGCUAAACCAGUAUUACGCAACUGCUCAAAAAUCAGAGUUCAUAUCCUUCGAUCCAUAUAUAUUGCUCAAAAGAAGUAAAAAGCAUAUCAAAAGAUAGUCGCUGGCGUAUUCAUAAUCCAGCAUGUAAUCGAUAAGCUGUAACAAGCAAUGCACAAGCACAUCAAAGAGGAAGCAUCGCAUCAACAUUCACACAGAUAAUAAGAAUGGUUUGAUCAAACUAGUGUGCUCAGAAACCCUAGAGCACAAAGUCCCCAAAUCGGUCAUUGUAAAAUGAGAAAUAAGCUAUUGAGGAAAACAAAAUUCAUUUAUUAUCCAAUUUUUUUCUAAAUAAAAUGCGUAAAAAGGGAAACGAGAAGUCGAGAACAAUGUAUCAGGCACCUGAAACGAAGGUUGUAGAGAGAGAGAGAGAGAGAGAGAGAGAAGAUGCAAACGAUGAAAGAGGAAGGGGAUGAAUCGCUCCAACGGACGAGCUUAAGCUGUCGACAGCAACGUUAAUGGGCCUGAUGAGCUUUAAUUGAGGCCCAUUGGGGGGGGAAACAAAAUAGAGCUCUAAGAGAGCCUGUUUAUGAUUGCUAGGCCUGGACGGGGGGAUUCGAAAUUUUCAGCUUCGUUCGGAUGGAAAGCUAAAAUAAGCUUUGAAUUCUAUAAGUUAGUGAUGAAGAGGAGCCGUGCUCCAAUUUGAUUUCAGCUUUACCGCGGAUUCUAAUGCGUCUCAUGUCUAGAAUCUAGAGAUUAUACUGUAUGAUGUAAUGUGUUGUUCAUAUUAGCACCCUACAAUCUCAUUACGAUUCUCAUUUGCAACGAAAGGACUGUUUCUUUUCUGUGGAUCAAAUGCUUUACUGGAGAUGAAUGUUGCUUGAAGCAAACUAAUGAAAGACUUAUUCCAGAUUGUAGAAUACGGGAUAAGAACCAUUAACGCGUCAAAUUAUUGCAAGAGUUACAAUUUUCUCUAUAGACUUUAUUUCGUCUUCAUUAAUUACACUGUUAAGUUCGAACGAAGUAAAUAAGAGCAUGAGAUGGCAUAACCACUGCAUUCCCUUGGCUCCGCAACACUUAACUACAAAGUAUACGGACGUGUCUAGAGUGUAGGGUUUUUUCCUUUUUCCAAAAAAGAAAAGUUCGGAAGACUUUAGAGUGUGGGUACUGAAGAACAAAACUGCUCCCAAGAGAAGCAAGGUAUCACGUUUGGUGAGGCCUCUGAAACCACACUAAUGCAAACGCCACAGCAAUGAAUAAUGAAUUACUUCUACAUGUCCCAUACAAUCAGCUGAUUUCAAGCUCCAAAAUAAGUAGGUAAUACGCAUUCCCCAGAAUUUGAGAAGCUGAAUUCAAUUCUCAAGUGAAAAAUAAAAAGAAAAAAAAAUGUUAAAAUAGAUGAAAAAAAAAAAAUCAAAUAACAAGAGCCUCGUUGGCCCAGCAAAAGCAGGAAACGCUUUUCCAAGCUGGGCGGCCAAUAAGCAUUCACUGCACACAAACCGGCCAAACUAUAUGACAAAAGUGAAAUUCAAUCUGAAUUCUAAAUUGAACUGUUUUUUUUUCCUUUUUAUUACAAUUUUUUUUCCCCAACUUUCCCUUUCCCUCUCCCUCGGCCACCCUCUCCUGCCCAGCACCACAUCCACAAUCUCGUGUUCACACAAUGAUGAGGCGGCAACCGCCCUGUGUAGAAGCACAUAACAAAAACAAGGAAAUAAAUAAUUCAUCGCUAUGUAAAAAGCAUGAAGACGAUGGCUGCGAAAACUGCAGCUCACCGUGUCCCUGGAUAAGAAGUGACUCAUUGUCCCCAACCAGCUCGGCCCUCCGAAGGAGAACUGAUACUGGCAACCGAUCGAGGAAAAUGCCUUUCUCACAACAGUGUCUCGUCCUCAUCAUCGGCUUCAUCAUGGGGCAUCCUCCGCUGCCGCCUCCGUCUAUGCUGGCCCUCUUCAGCUACUCCAUCAUUGUCUGCAUUAUCUUCGACGGCAUUAGAAACAUUACUGCUCACUCCUCCAUUCGUGUCCGCCUCAUUGAAGGCCUCCCCCCAGAGAAACACUCGCCUUCCUCGGCGAUUCACAGUCCUCAAAUUCCUUGGGGAGCUUCUCCUGUAUCUUAAAGUCGGCUGCAUGUUGUCUGUACCUCCUUGCUGGCUAACCUGUACAACUAAAAACAAGGUGAAGGAGGGAAAUGCGAAAACCCGGCCUCCGAAAUCCUCUCGCUCGCUGUUUGCGCCAAACAACUCUUCAUCCGCGCUGGUAUCCGACCGGAACAUGCUGAACAGAUCCCCGAGAUCCCGUUGCUGCUCUAUCCUCCGCCAGUCCCGCUGCCGCUCAGGGUCUACCUCCGAAGGCCGCCCAGACGGAUGGUCCUUCCUUGCGUGCUUUCUUAAUUCUGCAUACGUCCCCGAGAAGGCACAAGACUCCAUAGAGCAGCUACGGUUCUUGGUAUUCAUAUACCGCCGAGCGGGUUCCAACACCAUCCAACUGUUGACAAGCCCCCGGCAUAAAGGGCACGAGAGUUUGUUUUGAAGCGAGUCCUCGGCAUUCCCUUCAGAGGUUUUGGAUCCUGAGAAGGCCUUCUUGUACUGAUCGAGGCAAUUGGAAUGCCGGUAGCUCGUGUCGCACAUGAAUGGUCGGCAGCCUUUGUCAUGGGAAGAGCAGAGAAGUAGUACCGCGUUAUGAGGGUGCUCCAUACAAACAGGGCAGCGGACGUCCUCCCAUUCUUUAGUGUCAGUGGAUAUAAGAGCAUGUUCGGGUGGCUCCUGUGAAUGUGAAGAAUCACUUCUUCUGGUAGAUGAACUACAAGGGUAGGGAGAAGCACGAGAAUGCCGUUCAAAGGAUGCAGAACGAGUUCCCCUGUCCUUAGGCAUAUUACUACUUGAUAGACCAAGAACUAAUGAACAAAUUUCUUGACAAAGCAACACUUUUUAUACAGCACAGAGGAAGAAAUUCGAAUAGGAACUAGAGCUUCAAGGUCUGAAAUCAAACAAGAUAAAACAAAUCAAUGCAACCCAAGAUACGUUUCCUGAUUAAGCAGUUAGUUUUCAGUUAAUUAUAAAGCAAAAGAAACCAGAAAAAGAAUGAAUAUAUAAAAGUUUUCAUUUUCAUCACUCAGCAAUCAGAAUACAUCAAUAAAGAAUACAAUAACAGAACCUACUUUCUAAACAUGAAUAACACAUAAUUAAUCUAUUAAAAUGCAAGAGUGAAUGCACAACUAUGCGCUCAACCAAUAUUUGGCUAAUUUCAAAGAAAACAUCCCAAUAAGCUGCUAUAUAACAAGAUUACACAACUGCUAAGAUUCAACAACAAAGUAUACACAAAAAUUUCACCUUAACAUAUAUUACAUAUAAUAUACGCUGAUGUGGCUAUUCAAAUAAAACUUGUUUUACAACUCAUAUUAAAGAAACCACACCGUCAUCGUAUGAAUCUCUGGUUACCGUAUACAUUAGCGUCCAAUAAUGUUCCUUAAAAAGCAACUCACGAAGACAAUAAUAGCUAACAACCGCAUCCAUGACCCUCAAUUCUCGCAAUGAUUAUUGACAUACUCAACAUCUACACCAAGAAAUUGAUCUAACAACACCAGCAUCCGCACAAGAGCGACACAAACCCUAAUCACACAAUAGAACCUCCCACUCCAUAACACCAAAUCGAGAUGAACAAAGACCAAAAAGCGACGCCUAUAUACACAGAGACUACACGCGAGAGCCGAAUCAACGCCAAAAAGAGAGGGAAGAAAAAAAAAAAGAAAAGAAGAGGGAUUCGAAUUCACGAUGGAGAUUAUUACCGAUCGGGGUUUUCCAAAGAUCUGCGAGAAGUGGAUUCGAUCGAUCGAAGCAAAUAGCGAGCGCGUGGGGGGAAGAGAGAGAGUCCUCGGAGUCGGCUGAGGAGAGAGAGAGAAAGAGGAGGAGGAGGAAGAAGCCCUAAUUUUUCGACGAAAAGGGGGGGAGGGGAAGAAACGCGAUAUGCGGAGGAGGUGGGGCGCCUUUUAUCGGAGAGGCGUGGAUGACGUGGCAGCUGACGUGGGCGGCUAGGGUUCUCUCGAGGUCAAAACGGCGCCUACCGUCGGUAGAAGGUGCCUUUUUUUUUUCUUUCUCACGAGAAUUUCUCCGAUGCACCGGGUGUACGAGUAUAUUUUUACAAUCUCAUACACCGCUCUCCAAAAUAUCACUAUAAAAAUAAAUAUAUUUUAUAAUAUUUCAAAAAAUUAUUAAAUAUAAUUUUUUAUAAACAGGGUAAUGAUUAUUUCUAAAUCUAAGGGCAUGUUUGGUUCGCUUAUUUUUUACCUUGGAGUCGGAAUAGGAAUGAAUGAAUUCAUUUGUGGGUGUUUGGUACUCGGGAGUCCUAUUCUGAUUCCGAUUUCCGAGUGGAAUGGAAAUUUCCUAAUCAGUUGAAUCCGGACGAAAUAGAUAUUUAUUCGGAUUAAAUUUAUUUUUUCAACUUUUUUUAAUUAAAAUAUGAGUUUAAAUUUAGAAAUUAAAUUUAUAUUUUUAAAUUUUAAUUUGAAUUUGAAUUAAAAAUUAAAAUUUAAUCAUGUAUUUUGAAUCUAACUUAUAAAUUUGAAUUUAAAUUAAAUUUUAAUUUAUAUAAAGUUUUAUUCAAAUUUUAUUUAAAACUUAAAUUAAAUUUAUAAAUUCAAAUUAAAAUUUAAAUUGUAAUUUUAAGUUUGAAUUUGAAUAAAUCAAAAUUUAGUUUNAACAGGAUAAUAAUUAUUUUUAAAAUUUAAAUUAUAAUUUUAAGUUUGAAUUUGAAUAAAUCGAAAUAAUCAUUACCCAAUAGUGUAAUUUAUGUUUUUGUUGAGAAAACUUUAAUAAGACUAUAUUAUAAGUUGCAUGACAAUUGUAGGCAAUAAUGCAAUAUUUAUAUAUAUAUUAUUUUUUUUUUUGGGUUAAUUGGAACAGAGGAAGGUGGGCCGUUCACAUCGUGUGGGCCCCGGAGAAUCAACGGCUCACGAUGCGUCGUACGAGUUGGGACCGCGGAUUUAUGAUUGUGCUGAGGGGGGAGUUUUGUAUCUUUUGUUUUGGUGGAAGCCACAACUUCAGAGGUCUACAGCUAUUGCUAUUUUCACACCCUUUUUAUAGAUUUCUGUGAGUUUUAUUAUUAAUUCUUUUGAAAUUAAAACUAUUUUAGUUUUAAUUAAUCUUACAAAAUAUAUUUUAGAAUUAGUUAAAUUUGAUGGCAAUUCUAUAGAAUAUUCUCGACUGUUUUUCUGGUGAAACUGUAAAAAACAUAUCGUAAUCGAUUCAUUACAUUCUAAAAAUUUGUCUCGUUAUGUUAUUUAUUUUGCAUAUGAAAAAAUAUAUAAAAUGGAUACAUCUAUAGAUCGAAAUUGAAAUAACUGCUUUUAUAUGUAGUAAGGCUUCGUUUGAGAUUGAAAGAGCGACGAUAGAAAAAUAUCAUGUUUGUUUCCGUACGUAAUAUUGCGUUUUGCAUAUCGCACUGAGUCGAUUACGAUAUAUUUUCUCCGGUCCCAUCAAAGAACGCAGAAGCAUAUCCCUGUAUGCUUUUUCCUCAACUCUAUUUUAUCUAAUAGCGUUAGAUAGAUCUCAAUAUCAAACUAAGUCUAAGUAUGAAUAUGAAUAUGGACAUAGAUAUAAAAUUAUUCCAAUUUUAUUACGGAUCUAAAACGGGUUCGAGCCUAAGCUUGUUGAACCAGUUUGGCCCGUCCCGAGCUGAACCCGAGCUCGAACCGGAUUCGACCCGGCCCAUCUCUUCACAACCCAACUCGAGGGGCCAAUUCUCUCUCUCUCUCUCUCUCUCUCUCCUCUUAAAUCUCCGACGCGCUAAAAACCCUACACCUCCUCCUCGCGCCUCUUCCCGCUCCGUCGCCCCCACCCCCGCCGUCGCCGCCGCAAACCCUAGCCGCCGCACCAAACCCCUGCUUGUGUUCGAUCCUCGUCGCCGCACUCGAACCAUGGGCGGAGAGAAGAGCCCCUCUCUCCUCUCGUCCUUUACAUCCGAUGGAGAUCGCUUCGCCGUUCUAUCCCCCGAUGGAACCAUCAGAGUGCGAUUCUUAUCUGAUUUUUCGCUAUUUUUCAAGCUAUUUCAUGCCAACAACAUCUACUUUUCUCUAAAGCAGCUUCUUUUCCGUGGGCCGUUUCGCCCUGCUGUAGUGUGUAGUAAUGUUGGAUUAAGUGUUUUUGAAUUAGUGCUUUUAGAAGUAGCACUACAUGGAAGUUCCUCUUUGACCUUGGCUAUAUGAUUAAAGUACUUGAAAAUGUACAAUUUACGAGGAAAUUUAAUAGUGCUGUUGUUGGAGUAACUCUUUGAGCUAAUUUAUAUCCCAUGUUCAGAUAUUGGAUACCCUAUCGGGAACAGUCGUUGCAGAAUGGAGGGACCUAUAUGUGGAUUCGACUAUUUCGUAUUCUUGCAUUUCAUGUGGUUACAUUGGAAAGAAGGUAAAAGUUUUGCUUAGUUAGUUGCUGUUUAUGGACUAAUUUAAUUAUAGCAUGGAUUAACAUGAAUUGAUUUUUCGAAUUUAUAUGCUUAUUUCCAGCGCAAGAGAGAUCAGAAAACUUUCUUACUUGCUAUCGGUACAGAAACUGGUGAUGUUUUGGCUGUAGAUAUUCUGACUAAUCAGAAAAGAUGGGUAAACAGCGAGUGCCACUCUGGGUAUGUUCUACCAGUCUUUGUGGGAGAUUUGUUGAUUAUGACUAUGUUAUUUAAAGCUAGGACUGUUUUAUGUUAGCGAAGAAUCGUCAAAAUUAUGGGAGAAAUCAAGAUUGUUGAACCCUGUUAUCUUGGGAGAAAUCAAGAUUAUUGAACCCUGUUAUCUUGUUUGUGGAUUAUAUUUGAAAUCCAUUAAAAUUUAAGAAUUGUAUGUUGUUUAUGAAUAUUUGAUGUUGCCAAAUUGAGUCAUCAAAGGAAGGUACUUUCUUCCUUAUAUUUGAUGCAGUACAAUUUCCAUCUUUAAUUUGUAAAAAGACUCCCCUAUUGUUGUUUGGAAACUUGUAUAUGUAUGUACUCCUCAACCUUGUAAACUUUGAGAGAGGGAAGCCACCUGUAUACUUUUUCACGUUUUACAUGUAGUCACGAGCCCGCUUGAUCUAAACAUUUUGAAACUAACUUUGUAGGGUGAUUAUCGGGGAAAUGUUACUUAAAAAUUCUUCUAGCUAAAUAGAAUUAUGUCCAACAUGCUAGCUGACCGUUUCUAGAUUGCUUUAGUACUUAAUUUGUUAUGCUGAUGAAGAUAUCUUACUUUAUGUUUCUCUGUCCAUUUUUUAUUUCUCUAUUAAAUUUGUCCUCCUGUACACACAACGUGAUAUUGUUCUUAUUUCCUUAGUGGGGUUGCUGCUCUUUGUUUCACCAAAAAAGGCCGUAUUCUUUAUUCUGCUGGGACUGAUGGCAUGGUGUAUGAACUGAAUUCUGAUACGGGAGAAAACAUUGGGCAAUUCAACGCUUCAAAGAGGUCAAUUACUUCCCUAACCCUUUCAAGAGGUGAGUGCAACUUUAGAUAUAACCUUCUUAAUUUGGGUACCAUGUUUUACUUCCAGAAAUACUAUGCAAAUUGCUAUAUUUCCUUUCCUAUAAGUCGAAAGUACACUAUAUCAGAUAAUGGCUGUGAUAAUAGGUGGAAAUCAAUGGCUCAGUGAAUAGCCUUCAUUUACUAUUAAUUAUUUGACUUCUUCAUGCUGGCAGAACUAAGUAUCUUCAAACAUCACUAGAAUCAAUUAGGAAACAAUUCAAUCUAUUGGAUUAGAUCCUUUUUGAGUUGACUUUGAUGUAUUCUGCAUAUAGUUAAAGUACUCUCCUUUGCAUAUAAAAGUCUCAUGCACUGGUCGGAGUGGUAAAAAUCUAAUUUAGGAUCUAUUUUAAACUGGGAGUUUCGCACUAUAAUUACUUUAUGUAAUUGCUAUACUACAAUCACCUUGAUCCUCUAAAAUUAGCUGCUUGUGCUUUGAACAUUAGAUGAGAAAGUCAUGGCUGUAGCUAGCAAUAAAACACGGCUGUUCAGCUGGGAGGACAAAAAGGAGCUUUUGAAGAUUCCUUCUGAUUAUGUACGCUAAUAUCACUUUGCACCUUCUGGAGUCUCUUUUCCUCUUAAUUUAUUUACUUUUCAUAGUCAUAUUUUCUUCUAAUUAUAAUGCUGUGUUGAGGUUGUUGUGUUGACAGGGUACUGUUCAAUACAUAGCUGUAUCAGAUGAUGGGGAUGUUGCUGUUUCAUCUGUGACUGGACACAAACAACUUCAAAUGUGGUCUUUUGAUCAUGAAAAUGAAAGGAGUACAGCUGAGUUUGCCCUUUCCAUGCAAAGUAUACCAAUUAUGUUGGAAUGUAGAGGUUCUAAGAAGACAGAUAGCUUAUACGUUCUCUCAGUUUCAGAAAAAGGCAUUGCUUAUGUGUGGCAUUUGAAAAGCAUGUCUCGAGAUGGAGUUCUGCGAACUAAAAUCCUGGUUAAAUCAAAAAAACCAAUACUGGAUGAAGGAAAAGGUGGCAAAAAAGAUCGCGUGCCUAUAGUUUCUGCUAUGUUGUGUUAUGCAGAGGAAGAUGCACAAGCUUCAGUCCUUGUUGCCUUUGGUUCGCUUGAUAAUUUGCAGUUCAGAUUUGUUGAGGUGAAUGAUAGUGGCAAAGAUAUCUACUUGACGGCUGAUAAUGAAAUGUCAGUUGAUAAAACACUGAGGACACAUACAGAUUCUAAUGCAGAAGGUUUGUUGUAUUUGUACUUAUAAUCUUUUAUUCACAUUCCAGUUUUCGGCUUCUCUUUUGUUUGGUGGCUGAUCUUUUGUUUUAUAGAGCUUGCAAAUUCCUCUCACCUCUAAGCACUUUCUUUGAUGGCAUAUUUGCUACGCUUGAGCCAAGAUGCCAUUUUUGUACAUUCCUAACUGUUGAAUCUCAGUUUUUGGAGAAUAAUUUCUCUCUUGUGGGCUUUAACUCCCGGACUGGGAAAUAAUUACUGAUUUUUGUGAUUCGCAACUUUUUUUGCAAGUAUAUAGUGUUAUGAAGAAUGAAGAAGGAAAAAAGGGGUGGGCACAACUAUUAAGGAUGGCAUGCUUAUAUUUGCCAAGACAAGGAUAUUCAAAGCUGCUGAAUAAAGCGGCGCGUUAUGUUUUUAAUUAAAGACCAUUUAGUAGCUAUGACAAUCCGCUUAAAUUUGUUGUUUCUGUUGCAACAGAAAUUGAUGGCGAUAUCAAAAGUUCUAAUUUAGGAGAGACAACUACUCCAAGCCAGAGAAAAAGAGCAAAGAAGCGAAUGACACCAGAUUCAGACACUGCAAAUGAAGGUUCUUUGUCAACUGGGUAAAGAGUGUGCAUUCUGCUCCCUUUUCUGUUGAUAGGUAAUUAAUUUCAAACCAUUUUGUAGAGGCAGUUCGUGAACCAGUGGCUGAAUUUGAUCUCGAUGAGCCAACUAUGGCUGAGAAACUAGCUAGCCUUGACUUGCAAAAUGGUGAGAACGAAAAGAGUGAUGUGGAAAAAGCAUCAUCUCCAACUAUCAAGCCUCCUAGUGCAGAUUCGGUGCAUGUUUUGCUGAAACAAGCACUACAUGCUGAUGAUCAUUCGUUAUUAUUGGACUGUUUGUACACUAGGGAUGAAAAGGUAUGGCCCAUUGCCUUUUACUCACUUGACGUUGUUACGAUACUUUUCUCUGCUGCAUUAGUUUGUCAAAACUUUCAUCUUAUCAUAACUUGCUUAUUAUUAUGUUACUUUAUAACAGGUCAUUGCAAAUUCUAUAUCACUUUUGACUCCAGCAGAUGUUCUCAAGCUUUUAAAAUCCAUUAUGUUAAUGAUCCAAUCAAGGUAAUUAAUUAUGUACUCAUAAAUUUGUCUUAAGAUCAUGCACAAGAUAGAUCUAUUUAAAGCAUUCUUUUUCUUUUUUCUUUUUUCUUUUUUCUUUAAGGGGCGGGUUGGGGGGCGUGGGGUUGCAGUUGAACCUAUUCUGAUAUCUGAUUUAUAUUUCUAUUGUAAUAGGGGUGCAGUAUUAAUCUGUGUAAUUCCAUGGCUAAGGAGUUUGCUUGGUCAACAUGCAAGCAGUAUAGCAUCCCAAGACUCAUCUCUACAACUCCUCAACUCUUUGUAUCAGGUUAGCAUUAUUUUCUUUAAGGCACUUUCUAUUGACGGACUUUGUAGUCAUGCGAGAUAGUUUUAAAAAAGUUAAGUGCCUAGUCUCAAAUCUCAUAAUCUAUGAACUCUGCAACAAAUGAUCUGUAUAAUGAGAUCACAUAUGUUAUGUUUGCGGUAAUGCCCUCUCUGAGAGCUAAUAAGCUGCAGCAAACUUGUAAAGUUGACACUCUACAUGUGCAUGCACAGGCAAAAUAUCAUAUUAACACAUGAUGCAGCAUUGAGAAAGUGCGCCUCACUAUUAACAUGUGUACAUAUUUAUGUGCUAAGCCGAAAUGCUUCUCUUAUUGUGUAUAUGCUAUAACAUGGUACAUGACCAUAAAACCUAGCAAAAAGAUGCACUGAAAUUUUUAGUCUGUUUUAAAGUUAAAUUGUUUGCGGAAGUUGGCACCUUCUUUGAUUUCGAUAAUACAAUAUUAAUUGUUAUUAAUUUUCUUCUGUAGCUUAUUGAUUCGAGGAUCUCAACAUUUGGAUCGGCUCUCCAACUUUCUACAUGUCUAGAUUACCUUUUCGUUGGGGUAAGAUUUUUCCCCCCUCCUCUUUUGGCCCUUAAUAUGAAGAAUGUGUUACUCCUUGGCUUUUGGAACAGCUUUGCUAUCCCGAGAAACAACAACGAAAAUUCUUGGCAAAAAAAAUAAAUGAAAAUCUACAGCUUUUAAAGGCUGACAACUUGAAUGAGCUUUUGGGAUGCCAAAUGCGAAAGUUCCGAAAUGAAACUUACGCUUCCGUUGUCACAACUGGAUAUUAAGGGGAUUUUAGUCUUUAAAAAAGCAAAAAUAUUUUGUUAUUACUUCUUCAAAGUUCGAACUGUACUUAGACAGUACUUCUGCAAAAGUUUUAGCCAGGCCAAAUUAGUCUUAAGUGUUAAUAUACUAUUCAUUCUAUCCAUAUGCUUCUUCAUAGAUCUGUGACGACGAAGCUGAUGAUGAAGCAACCACCCUGCCCAUAAUUUAUGAGGACAAGGACAGUGAAGAGGAGGAAGGAGAAGAAUCUGAAGACGGAGAUGCAAUGGAAACUGAUGAUAAUGAAGAGUUGGGAGACGUGAUUGAUGCUCCACAUUAUUCUGAUGGAAGUGAGGUCAUGAGUGAUUGAUGCAAUUAACUCACAAUGGUGCAUAGUCGGGAGCUUGUCGUGUUAUUUAGAUUAUGAGCUUCAGUUCUUUUACCAGGAAAACUGGGAAAAAGAACGUAAAUUUUGGUACUAGCUACAUAAAUGGAUGUUCUUUAAAUUAUAUCUUCAGAAGCCUAUAUGUUGUAAUUUGUUUAUUGAAGAAGGUGGUGCUUUUGUUCUAUUUUAUUUUUUAUUCGAAAUGAAUGAGUUGAUUGGAGCGGCAGUAGUUGUCAGCUUAAUAAGUUUUAACCCGAAUCUCUACCUACUGGUAGAAUAUGAAUGGUUGGUUAGGAGUUUGGGCACGUUAUUUAUUUAUUUAUUCUCACAGUGUGUUGCUACAGCAUAGUUUGAAAAUUGAGUUCUCCAGACACAUCCACAUCUACAUGGUCUUCCUCAGACAACUUUAAAAUAGUUUGACGUUCUACACUUUCGACGCUGAAAUUCGCCGGGAACAUAGCAUCUGUUAUAAAUGAAGCUGUGAAAUAACCUUCACAUAUUUUUAAAUUUUGUAAAAAUAUGAAAAAAAAAAAACAUGGGUCGUGAGUACAUGGGCCAGGCCCAGGUCGAGUCACGGCCCAGCCGUUAUCUACGAAGCCGAUAACAAAUUGGGAUCUUAAAAAAAAGAAAAAGAAAAAUGAAAACAUCUCCGCCGCUCCCCUAUUUAUUCCCUCCCCGCAUUUCCAUCGCUUCUCUUCACUCGUAAAAGUCGCCCUCUACGCACGCCUCUCACUCUCCCCCUUCCUCCUCUUCGAUCUCCGAGCGAAGAUGAGGCCCUCGAUGCUCCGAUCCAUCUCCUCCGCCCUCCUCCGCCGCCGUGGGGGCGGCGGCGCCGCCGCAGCCCCCGGCGUCCUCGCCCGCUCCUUCGCCUCCGACGCCUCCCCCGCGCGCAAGGUCGCCAUCCUCGGCGCCGCUGGAGGGAUCGGCCAGCCCCUCGCCCUCCUCAUGAAGCUCAACCCCCUCGUCUCCUCCCUCUCCCUCUACGACAUCGCCGGGACCCCCGGCGUCGCCGCCGACGUUAGCCACAUCAACUCCCGCGCCGAGGUGCUCGAUCUCGUUCCCCUCCUCCGAUCUCGUAGAUCUAGUGCGAUCUCGUAGUUUUGGUGCUCUCGCUGUGCGAUCUCGUAGGUCUGAUGCGAUUUAGAGGUUUGGAUCUGAUUCCCUGCUUCGGAUUGAUCCAGGUGAAGGGUUUCGCGUCGGAGGAUCAGCUCGGCGAGGCCCUCGAGGGUUCCGAUGUCGUCGUCAUCCCCGCCGGGGUGCCGCGGAAACCCGGGAUGACCCGCGACGAUCUCUUCAACAUCAACGCCGGCAUCGUCAAAUCCCUCUGCACCGCCAUCGCCAAGUACUGCCCCAAUGUAUGUGAUCUCUCAUCUUCCCUAAUUUCCCUCUGUUAUUAUUCUCUCUCUCUCCUUUUUUCCCCCUUUUUUCGUGUAAGAAUUGUACAGGACCCUACUCAUCAUCAAUAGCCAGUACGCAAUGGACCAUCUUAACAAUUUUCCUUUUGAUUGACAUUCCCUCAAAUUUUGAUCCUCAUAUAAGCUAUUCGCGUUAAUUAGGUUCGGAUUUUGUUAGAUUUAAUGGCGAUUCUGUCGAAUUCAAUUGUUCCAAAAAACUUUUUCAGCUGAUGGAACUACUGAUUUUGUUAACUGUUGACCGUUGAUUUUAUCGGAUUCUCCAGUUAAAAGCUGACAGGUGUCAAUGAAAAAAAAAAAAAAGUCUCUUUGAAAAUGGUCUAUAGUUGAGGGAUUUCUCCUUAUACUUCUACCUUGUUUUUUUAAUUUUCUACUCUUUGUUCAAUUGUUUUUGGCUGGAUUUAGGCUAUUGUAAAUAUGAUCAGCAAUCCGGUGAACUCCACGGUGCCGAUUGCAGCAGAGGUUUUCAAGAAGGCCGGGACAUAUGAUGAGAGUAAGCUCUGCGGUGUUACCACUCUCGACGUAGUCAGAGCCAAGACUUUCUAUGCUGGCAAGGCAAUGGUUCCGGUUGCUGGUAAUUGCUUUUCCUUUGGACUAGGAUGUUUGUUUUCAUGGAUCAUUAGAUUGGAUCUGAACAAUGUUGAAUGGUUUAUUGGUUUGGCAGAUGUUAAUGUCCCUGUUGUCGGCGGCCAUGCUGGUAUAACAAUCUUGCCUCUAUUUUCUCAGGUACUUACGUUGAUUUGAACUGUUGGUUCCUUAUUUUAUAUAUUCGUAGUUUUUGUGUGGAUUAGAAAAGCUUUCCUGUUUGAUCUUCGUUUGCAAGUUUGGAGAUGUUGUUUAUCUUAAUUUCCGAUUUGGAUACAGGCGACUCCUGCUAGUAACGCAUCAUUGUCUCAUGAGGAUAUCAAGGCUCUAACAAAAAGGACACAAGAUGGUGGGACGGAGGUUGUGGAGGCAAAGGCAGGAAAAGGCUCUGCAACGCUAUCUAUGGCGUAAGUAUCAAAUACCUAUGGAGCUAACUCUUGUUUCUUUCUGAGAUUUGGACCUGUAGUAGUUCGCCUUCCUUCGUCCCAACAGUUUUCCGCAUCGUGGUUGUAUUACUUUGUAGCCUAGUAGGUCCUGCUUCAGUUUCUGUAGCUAUUUGUAAGCAAAAAUAACAAAAGUAAGCAAAAAUAACAAAAGAAGUCAGGCUAUGCUAGUUCUAGAAUUGAAGCACUUGGUCCCUAAUUUUUUUUUUCUGGCAGGUGACAUGAACAAAACUAUUAUACUGCUUGGUUGUUACUUUUUCUCUGUAUAUUUCGUUUGCUAGCUUCUCUGUCGGAUGUAAGGACUUCAAGUUCUGAUUUCUAGUUCUUGCUGUGUCACAUAUUGCUCUAUACAGUUUGUUUAGGAAGUCUUUCCUCCUCGACCCUCUUUUUCUUUUCAUCUUCUGCUGUGCUGUCGUGUUUGCUGGCUCCCUUUCCCUUUAAGUCGAUCCCCCCUAUUAUAGAAGUCCUAGAUUUUUAUUUGGGACCAGGUUUGGCAUUUUGAGAGAGAUUCAUGAGGUAGCCUCCUUUUCUUCCCCUCCUGCAUAGUUUUAAUUACUUGAUUGGUUUUAGAAGUUAUGGGGACCUCUUCUACCUUAACCUUUUAAUGUAAGGUGUGGUAGAAUAAACAUGGCUGCAUCCAAUUUGCAAAAGCUGUUUUGCUGUAAUUCUUAUCUUCUAUGUCUUCCUAUUGGGACUAGGGAGCACCUUUGGUAGAUAGGUUGUUGAUCAUAGCUGCAUGAGGUCUUGUUGCACUCGAAAUGACAUCUUUCAAAACUGACUGCAUAGCUAGAAAUGUGUUGUUGUUGUUUUUUUUUUUUUGGGGGGUUGUAAGUACAUCCAUUCAUGGAAGUGUUAUGAUUGUAGCACCUCCGCGUACAUGUUUCAAAUAGAAGCUCCAGUAAUUUCUGUUCACCAUUUGCUAGCAUAGAAAUUGACAAACAGUAGCUGGUUGGUGAUCUUAUAUGCCAAUAACAAUUUCCUUUCUCUUGAUGGCUAGUGGAAGAGCUCAAAUCUAUUAUCCUUAUUUACCCGUCUCUAACUAGUACAAUUUGGUGCAGGUAUGCUGGAGCCGUCUUUGCAGAUGCAUGUUUGAAGGGUCUUAAUGGUGUUCCUGAUAUUGUUGAAUGUUCUUAUGUCCAGUCGACCAUCACCGAGCUACCUUUCUUUGCCUCUAAGGUAAUUUCGUAAUGUUUGUAAGACUGCCUAUUCUUCUGCUCAAGAUAAGAUUCCCUUAACUUGCUUUUAUAUUAAUCCACCGUUUAUCUGGCAUUGUAUGUUAUAUCAUCGUCUACCUAUGGUUUUGAAUGGGAUUGCCGAAUGACUAUACUUUGUCUCAUAACUAUUGACUGAUAUGAUGAAGAAACUGUUAACAAUACAAAGUAGAUGAAUUACCAUUCCCUAUCUUCUCGAGCUUUCGAACUUAACAAGUUACUGAAAUGCCUGUUUGGCCUGUGUUUCUGGCGUAGCUUCUCCACUCUGAAAAGCAUUAGUUGGGUGUUUGGGAAACAAAGUAUUUGGAGCUUUUGCUGUGCUUUAAGCUGAGAUAGCUUCAGGGCAUCAAAACAGAAGCUCAAAUUUUUUAAGUUCCUGCUGCUGCUGCAGUGGAAAUUUGUCACAAUUUCUACGGUAGAGCCGUAGAGGCUAUCGGUUCUUCUUCAAACAGCCGAACAGCUCUACUCAAUAUUGUGUUUCUCCAUUAAGCUUUUGCUGGGUCAAUCUGAGAAAAGUUCAUGGCAUAUGCAUUUUAAUUGUCCUCUAACAAAAGAGUAACUGAUUGUGUAACCACAGCAGGUUUAUGGCGCAUUUGGCAUGCAUGGCUAGAUUAACUAACUUACGGACCUAGAUACCCUUUUUUUAAAAAAGUUCAAUUACCUUUUGACAGGUGAGGCUUGGGAAGAACGGGGUAGAGGAGGUGCUUGGAUUGGGCCCCCUCUCAGACUACGAGAAAGAGGGUCUCGAAAAUCUCAAGCCCGAGCUCAAAUCCUCCAUCGAGAAGGGCAUCAAAUUCGCGAAAGAGAACUAAUUAGGUCGAUUGAUGAGGUUUCCGAACCAUUCCCAAUUUUGUAUUUGUACUCCGAGGGUCUAUCCUCUCAAAUGUUGUUGUGGUUAAGCUAUUAUUCUUAGACUGCUUUUAGCCGCGGCUCAGCUCGGGCACUCCUGAGGCUUCUUCCUUACACAAUAAAUCACGCGGAAUACUGAAGAAAACUUCAAUUUAAUUUGAUUAUGAGGCUGUUUAGCUGCAGUUGAUCAUGUUGUUUAUUAAUUUAGCCACCGAAUCGUUCUUCAGAUUUUGUUUAUUCUUGAAGUUUGAUGUCAGAUCUGCGAGAAAAAUUAUGCAUUAAGCAAAUACUCCCCAGAAAAUUUGGUGUAGCAUUCUCGGUUUUCCGACUCUUCAAUUUUAAAUUUUAGCAACAAGAGGUUCGUAAAUCCAAUUUGAGUUGUUGGUGUGUUAUAGAGACAACCCCAAUUUGGGAUCUGUAAAUUAACUACUUUAAAUAAUGGUGGUAAGCGAAAAUUGGUAGCUGUUUCAAAGAUGCAAUAAAAAGUACUACGACAGCAUAAAUAAAGUGGAAAGCAAUGGCACAUGAGCAAAACCAAAUUAACUUAAGAACGGGUCAAAUCACCCUUUUCGUUAACUACACCUUUAUAUCUAGUUAGCUAAUGUAAAUUUACGCAUAAAUAAAGAGAUUAAAAAUGCUUUGCUUACAAACAAAUAUUAUAAUAUUUUACAAACUAGGUAACUGUAUGAAUGUAUUUCAAUCAUGAAAUUGUAAAUUAUACUUAUCUCCUCGUGAUUUGUACUUUUUCAUCAAUUAAAUACCAUCUAAUUUAUGCUAAUUUGUAAAAUAUUGUAAAAUUUAUUUAUAAGUAUAGUAUUACUCUAUGUUCAAUAACCACUUGUCGGUGGGGCUAGGGCACUAAUAAAGAUUCAACAAAAGCGGACAAAUUUGGGGGCAACUUGAGCUGUCGGAAAGCUGAUUUAACAACAACAACAAUUUAUGGAUCUGACCUCGCUGGCUCUUUCCAUUUUGCCCAAUCUAUGAAAGGAAUUCCUCAUUAGUACAUUUAUUAGGUGAAUCCACAUUUUCGUCUAUCAGUUUAAACUUGUAAAUUAUUACUAAGUUUUUUAAAUAUAAACUCAUUGAGUGUAUAAUAUUCAGAGACCAUUCUCCCACAACAUAAUUUUUUAAAGAAUAUAUAACAGUUGUUUUAAUUAAUAUUAAUUGAAGUUCAUAUUUGGAGUCUAUUAAAAUAUCUCAAAUUUAAAUAUGAGCAAAAGUGCUGAAUAUAUAGCCAUUUAAUACCGUUUUUUGAUAGUGUAAGUUUUCGAAGUGUAACAGUUAUUUUUUGUACCUUUAUUGGUGAUAUUCCAGUCAAGUUUAUAACUCUGUUAUUUCUGAUGAAUUUGACGAUUAUCUACUAACCGCAUCACGCAUUAAUAGUGAUUAACAUAUAAAUACUUCAAAGCACAUAUUUUAGAUCACAAAAACGUAAAAUACAAUUAAUAAUAAUAAUUCUCAUUAAGGUAAGCUCUUUUAAAGUUGUUCCUUUCCUUCGUUUAAGACAUACCCGCGCUGUUGCUCGGCAUUGCAUGCGUCACACAUUCCCUUCCCAAAAAUCGCACCACCACCGACCAACUUUUGUGAAAGGGCAAUGCUUUGGGCCCUCAGAGAGCUUUUCAUAAAAUGUUGAUGCGUUAAUAGUUUUGUAUAAAACUUAUUUUAGAUUAUAUUUUGUUUGAAAUACAAUCGGUAGUACAUAAAUAAUAUUUAUUAUUUAUUUUUUAGUUUUUUUCCAAAAAAAUAUUUUAUAUUAAAUUUAUGUAUAAAUUAAUCUUAUCAAGUGAUAUAUCAAAAGAUUUGUUUAUAUAUUUUUUAUUAGUAUUCUAAAGAUGAAGUCACAUUUUUGCUUCGAUUUUCAACGGUUUUUCGGAUAAUAACGCAGUAGUUGUCACCUCAACUAACUAACGACUCAGUUGUCUGAGGCUUUAAACUUUUGACAAUGAAGUUUUCCCAAAUAUCAAAAGGAACGAAAAUGUAUGAAUAUCCUAUUGCCAUUUGCUCCCUCUAUUUUUGGCUCGAGUAAUUUCUCAAUUUUCACUUUUAUUAUAUUUUAAUUUUUACUGGCAAUUUUUUUUUUCCUUUUUUAGAUUUUAGGGUGAAGAGAAAGUUUUUUUUAUUCCUCUAUUUGUAAAAUAUACAAAAAUAUUUGCCCAAGUAGAUUGUGACACCCUAGUUUUUCGGGGGGUCAUUCAUAUUAGGAUUAUUUUCGUCCUAAUGGUCUAGUCACUGUCUAACAUGUUUAAAUCGGAUUGAGAGUUUUAGUUCUAUUAUAUUUUAUAUAUAGAACUAUUCGAGACUUUUCUCUUAAGUUAUAAUGUUAUUCAGACUUAAUAAUAGAUGAUGUGAGAUUCAUCUCGCUAGUCUAAAUCGAUUUUGUAAUGAGCUGCGCUUCACCUAUAGCAACUAACAUUAUAAGAGUCUCGCUCUCUCCAUCGUAUAAUUCUGACUCAGUUGGGAUUCAUCUUAUAUUUUCGACCGAUAAUUAUGACAUUGAAACCAAAAUCUCAAUGUCGGAAUAUUAUAUGGACUAAUUUAUACCUAUCACCCAACUAAAAUGAGACUACGAGAGUUGUUGGAGCGCACAAGCAAUCGAGAGAGAAGCUUGUGGAAACUCUACAACAACAACAACAACAACAACUCUCUCUCGCUACAACAACAACAACAACAACAACUCUCUCUCUCUCUCUCUCUCUCUCUCUCUCUCUCUCUCUCCAAUGAGUUCCUCAUCCUCUUCUAUACUCCAUAUUCCUAUUCAAAUUCUCUUUAUCAUAAUCGUGAUCUCCGAUCGCUGCAGCAGCUUUGCAUGCUACACGCGCAUCUUCAGCUUCGGCGACUCGCUGACGGACACGGGCAACUAUCUGCAGUCCCUCGACGGCCGUCCCGACCCUGUCCGCAGCCUUCCCUACGGCCAGACCUUCUUCGGCCACGCCACCGGCCGCUUCUGCAACGGCCGCCUCAUCGUCGACUUCUUAGGUCCCAUCUUCUCUCCGCACCACCAAAGAUUAUUUCUGAAUUAUUUUCUAUCUAAAUCUCAGUCACAUGUCUCGUCGUAAAAUAUAUAUAUAUUUGAUUACAUGUUGUGGGCUCAAUUUCCCAUAUCCUGCAUUUGUACGACACAUCAAUGGGCGUGUUAUUCUAAAUCAUUACAUCUAAAGUAGUAUUUUAAGUAACAUGGUAUCAGAAUCCGUACUCUCGAAAUUUUUAAAAUCUCUUUCGUAAUUAUCACGUCUAUUGAUUAAUUUAAUGGGUCAAAUUCACUCUUUUUUCUUCCCAUUGUGUCAUCUAUCUUUCGAGUGAUUGUAGGUUCAAUCAUUCUUAUUUUUUCUGUCAGUUUACGUGACGUGAUUUAUCUGAUCUGAUCUUUAUGGUACGCGUGAUUCUAGAUGUUAAAAUUGUUUUUGAAUUGUUUUUUAUAAGAUCGAUCUUUUGGGUAACAUGCUCUGCUUGGUGCAGCCCAAGCAUUAGGAUUGCCGUUCCUUCCGCCGUAUCUUGCGGGACGGACGGCGGAGGAUUUCCCGCACGGGGCCAACUUUGCGGUCGCCGGGGCCACCGCAAUGAACGGCUCCUUCUUCGAUGCAAACGGGGUCACGGUGACGUGGACGGAGUACUCGUUGGGCACUCAGCUUCAGUGGUUUAAGAAGCUGCUCCCUUUGAUCUCCUCUGAUUCAGGUUCGCUUCUCUCUUUGCGGCAUUUCGUCGAGCACGUUGUGUGCGUGCGUCGCUUGCUUGCUAAUUAGCCAAAAUAUGAAGAAUUGUGUGUCUAUUUUGGAUAUUGUGUGUGUUGCUUGUUCUUAGAUCUCUCCGUCGAAUGUUCAAAUUAAUGUAGGAAAAACCACACCAAUGUGUAGGAUUUUGGGAGAGUAUGUACCGAGUGUUCGAUUCUAGCUCCGAAUUUCAAUGUAGUUUACCCUUCGUGUGUUAAAAGAAGACAUCCUAAAUGACCACUUUGGUUUCAAAGAUGUGAUGAAUUGUAACUAGAAAUGCGGCAAAUUCAGGGCCAAGAGUAAAAGCAAUCGAUGUCGUCCACAAAAAUACUCGUAUCGUAGACAAAAAAUUGUCUUAGAAUAGAGUGUACACUAUAACAUCAUAACAUUUAAAACCAUAUUAUUAGUUCAAUCAUUACUGUAAUGUUUAAGAUCUUCCUGUACGAUAUAGGGGUUAUAAGAUAUACACAUUUCCACUCUUUGGACAGUAAAUAAGAACUCCAACAAGCUAAUCUAGUUACCAUAAUUAUUUAUAAGCAUCUGUCAAACCGAGCACCGAUGCAUUCUUGACUAAAUUACAUGCAAGCAGCAUGUUUAUGUAAUAAAAAGUUUUGUUGCAUUACAUUAACCAUUGCUGAUAAAUUUUAACAGCACAAUUUUCCGACUUGGUUGCUCAACUCAUCUUGACUUUCAAUUAUGCUGUUUUUCAACUCAUCUUGACUUUCAAUUAUGCUGUUUUUCAACUCAUCUUGACUUUCAAUUAUGCUGUUUUUCAACUCAUCUUGACUUUCAAUUAUGCUGUUUUUCAAAGUGUAGUAACUUGUGUCCAUCAAUUUAGGUAUGUCAAAUGCCAAUAUGAAUGUCGGUCCUGGUUACUGUUAAUAUUUGGACCAUAAUUUACCUCAUAAGGGCAAGAAAUUGCGAGUAAUACAAGGUUUUUGCAAGAUUUUGCCCUUUUCUGAUGUCCGUAAUAAUCAAAUCCGGAGUUCCACGAAUCUCCAAACGAAGCUUCACGUACCCUGGUCUUCAAAAUCAUCUUAGAACUCUUGACUCAAAGGCUGUAAUUGUGUUGCUUGAGAGCUGAGACUAUCUUGGCGUCGUUAAGUAGCUAAUUCUACAUUACUUGAACCUCUCGAUAGACGAUGAACUUGUUGGUUCGAGAUUGAUAGUAAAAUUAAUACAUUUUGAAAUUUUGACUUGCUAUACAAAUUUGGUAAUUAGGUGGUAAUUCAUUCAAAAGCUUAACUACCAGGAAAUAGCUAAAUUUUCAUACAUUCAGCUGUUGACAAAGUCGAUAAACCAUUUGCCAUUGUAUUGAAGAUGCUCUUGGCUUGUUGAAGUUUUGUUCUGCUCCACAGGGAACCUCUUUUGUGUCGGGUAAAGCGUUACAGCAAUCGUGCCAUUUUACCUAUUGUUACUGCUUACUGCUUCUAGUGCUUCAUGGCCCUUAUCCACCCUUUACAGAUAUUAAAAUAAAUAUGAGUCGAGUUAGUAAUAAAUGUUUUAUGUAGAUCGGAGCAAGAUCAUGAACAGCUCGCUUUUCCUUGUGGGUGAGAUCGGAGGAAAUGACUACAACCAUCCACUCUUCCAAGGCAAAACUAUCGAGGAAGUGCGCUCUUUUGUUCCGAGUGUCAUCACUACCAUCGGAUCUGCAAUCAACGUGAGUGCCAUUUCUUUUCUCUCAACAGAUCAUUUUCAAAGGGGUACAACGUAUCGAUGUCCCAGUACGACUUUAAUACUCGAACCUUCUAAUGGAUUAAAAUUUUAUCCCUGACCUUAAGAAAGAAUAGUCCGUACAUUUGAAUUGCAAUAUACGAGGAGGUUUAUGAUCUUAACUGUUUAAAUGAAGAAAUAGUCCAUACAUUUGAAUUGCAAUAUAUUAGUGUGCCAUCUGAAACAUCAUCUGCUGAACUUUGAACUUUAGCCCGCAGGAUCUGAUUGAACUCGGCGCGAGGACAUUGGUGGUGCCGGGUAACUUCCCAAUGGGAUGUGUCCCGACGUACCUCAUCGAAUUCCAAAGCCCAGAGGAGGAAGAUUACGACCCGCAAACAGGUUGUCUUAAGCAGUUGAAUGAGUUUGCGGAGUACCACAACCGCCAACUUCUGAAUGAGUUGGACAAGCUUCAAAGGCUUCACCCUCAUGCUACAAUAAUCUACGCCGAUUAUUAUGGACCUUCAAUGAAUGUUUAUCAUUCGCCGGAACAGUUUGGUGAGUUCUUUUUCCUCUUGCAUUUCCAAUGAUGAAUAUCUUUUUUUCUCCACAAUAAUCCUGCGAGUUUUUUUCCUUUUUUCUUUUUCCUUCUUACUUCUAACGUUGUGUUAGGGGGUUCUUUAAAAAAGAAUAAUUUAAGAAGUCAAGAAGAAGAAUGAAUUGCUUAUUGCUAAUCCUUUAGAUUCCUCUGAAAUUACAACCUAUCACUAAAAAUGCUCUAAUCAAGCAUUUCGCUUGAAUAUAUUUAUUAUGUUGUCUGCAGCUACCUUAGACCCUACUCUUUGCAUCUCAGAUGUAACCUAUUCUGACCUUUCUGAUGUAAAGUUCUUGGACUUCUUGGUACUGUAGUGGAAAUAAUUUCCUCCUGCAUUCAAUAUAAUAGAGAACCAUGACCUAAAUUUAGAAAUUUUAGCCAAGGAUGUUUCGGCUUUGUUUAUAUUUUACUUUUUUGCUUUAUUUCUGUCUGAUUUAAUACAUCUGGUUAUGUACUACUCUUUUCUUGUUUUUGGUGGUUGCUUUGCAAGUUACUCCUUUUUUAAGGAUCAAAGAAGGAUAAGUUACUGGUAAACUUUCCUCCUUUUUUUUUUUUUUCAUUUUUGUUGACAAAAACAGUACAGUUCUAGGAUUUGCAAACUACUAUGCAAGUUCAUCCAUAGGUGCUUCAAUCACAUAGAACCUGAGUGAAAACAAUAGCAAUGAAACACAAAAGAUAUCAUAGAAGGUCAAAAGCUAGUGUCAUGUAGGUUGACUUGGUGUCCUGUGCUUCCUGAAGUUUAUUAUAACGAAGUUGAAAAUUGACUUCCGCUACUGAAGGCAUGCUUUACUAUAAUGGAGCUAAAAAGGAUUAAUUCCAAUUACGUAAUGUUUUACUAGUCCUGAUUCUAUACAACCACAAUCUCUUCCUAAAACAAGUGCUUCCGAAAUUCAAGGACAUAAGACCAAGAGAAACAAAGCAAUUCAGCAGAUUAUCUGCUCUCAGGCAAUCCUUUUAAAUGAAGAUUGAUGUGGUGACAGGAAUCAAGGCACCCCUCAAUGCGUGCUGCGGAAGUGAUGCUCCUUACAACUACACCCCAUCAGUAUACUGCGGGAGCCCAGAGUCAAUCGUAUGUGCCGAUCCAUCAAAGUAUGUUUCCUGGGAUGGGUUACACUUAACCGAGGAGGCUUACAAGAUAGUUUCUCUUGCGAUGUUACAAGGGCCGAAUGCUCUUCCUGCUCUAAAAGCGUGCGCUAAUAAUCAAACCACCAAUAAUCAAACGAGCGCUGCGCGUGUUCUCUAUCCGCGCCACUUGCAGUGGAUAAGCUGGACAAUUGUACUCUCCACUCUAUUGUAGCUGUUGGUUUCUAUGGAGGAGAAAUAGAGCUAGAUUUUCCUUUACACAAGUGCCACUCAUGCGUAAGUUUCUUAUUCUGUGUUAUUGCUGUUGUUCUUUCUUUGACAAUUUAUUCUAUGUGGCAUACGAGGCAUAUAGUGAUUUGUUAUAGAGAAGCACUUUUGUAGUACUGAGAUAAAGUGAUUAGUUAUAAACUAAACUUGAGUUAUGCCUUGUGCUUGGCGUUAUCUUUCGAUUACCUGUUUGAAUAGCCAACUACUUUUGAAUUUCUUCCUGUGAUAUGAUUAUGCGAAGCUGAUUAAGGAAAAAAUGUUUUAUUUAGCAAUGAUGAAUAGUGGAUUUUGGAAAAGCUUAGCUUAACAGACUAAAAUUAAUCAGCAUGAAACUCGGCAAGAAAUCGUUGUUAUUUGGUAGAUCCGCUUACUUAAUCAAAAGAUCAUAUAGGUUUGGUACACUAAUUUGACCUAGUGAUUUAUACUUUGUGAUUCAAAAUAUGUGUCUCUCACAAUGUGUAGUUCAUUCUCCAAGUGAUGUUUAGUGUUGGCUUUGUAUACAGGGAUGAAUUAAUAUCCUGUUUUCUUCCUAAAUCUUCCUGCUUCAUUUGACCAUAGGAACUGGGCUGGGUAGUUUUCUCUAAUGAGUGGUGUUGUAAUUAAGAUAUAUAUGACUCCUAAUUCAUUUUAACCAAUUCUUAACCCUAAUUCAUUUUAACUAAUUCUUAACCAAAAUGAUGAAGAAAUUAUAUUGUGACAUUAUAAAGAGAGUUAUAUGAUAGUACUUAACAAAUUCUUAGACCAAGUCUUUGUGCAAUUGUUUGAACAAGUCUUGUAGUCUGAGCUUGAAAUAUGCAUCAAAACUUUUUGCACUUUCCUUUUCGACUCUCUGUUAAUUAUUUAGAAAUUGGCUAACUAUUUUGACUAGGAGGUGACAUAAUAUAUAUUGUCAUAUGGUAAAAUAUCUAAGGAGUUGGGUUAGAAUACUAUUAAUAGUAUUUAUUCUUUUUUACUAUCAAAUUUUUAGUCUUUAUAUCAAUUCCUUAAAUCAUUUCUAACUAUUGGAUUAAAUAUUAUAACCCAGUGGAGACCACUUAAUCCUAAGGGACUAAUAUCAUACUAACCCUAUAAUUUUUCAUCUAAGGGUUAAAAAUUUAAUAGCAUAAAGGAGCAAAUACUAUCAAUAGUAUUCUAGCCCGACUCAUAUCUUAGUAUAUGAUGAUAGUUAAUUAGUAUCGAAGUGAAUUGGAUUGGACCUUCUCUUAAAUGGGCCCAAGAACAUUUUAUUAUUAUUAUUAUAAGUGAAAAUACAAAAAAACUUUCUUAUAAGUACUUGUUUUUUAAUUUUCCUCCCAUCACUUUCAAAAACUUAUAUUUUAUUCUCUCAAAAUUUCAUAUUAAUGCACUUAGCCCUCUUUCAUCAGAAUUUUGUCACUGUUUCGUUUAUUUCUUAUAAUUUAUAUCGAAAAUAUCAUUGAAAGUGAUAAAAAUAUAUUAAAGGUUACUUCGCACUUUCUAUUAAUGCGGUAAACUUAUGAAAAUAUUUUUAAAAUUUUGAAAAGGUGAAAUGCAGGUUUUUUAACGUCAGAAAAGAAAAGUGAAAAGAAGAUAUGUGUAAAAGAAUUUUCUGUGUCUAGCCAUUUUUAUAUCAAAGAAUCUCGCGAGCUUUUACUUGUGAAAGUACAAACAGAGAUCAAAACCCCUCACCUCACCGACCGUCCCUAGAACAAGUGGCAAAAGGCUUGAUGGUUGAUACCUGAGGUCCCAAGUUUGAAUAAUAGUUAAUUCACAUUUUCAACUAAGUUUAUUUCUAAAUGAAAUAAACGAAACAGGUAGUGUGCUACCUAUCUCUCAAAAUAAAAAUAAAAAUAAAAAUAAAUACCCCUCACCUCAAAGACAAGAAGCCGGGUACAACCAGUUGAGCCAAGCCAAAAAGAUGUUCUUAUGUAGGGCUGGCAAACGAGCGAGCCGGCUCGCGUUCGACUCGUGUUCGGCUCGAUAUUCGGCUCGCUCGAGCUCGACUCGAAAUUAAAUGAGCCGAGCUUGAGUAUUACUCGGCUCGUUCGAAUUAGGCUCGAAAAGCUCGAAAGCCCGAAAUAUAUAUAUAUAUAUAUAAAAUGUAUUUUAAUUAUAUAUAGGCUUUAAUUUAAUUUGGGCCAUUAUUGUUGGCCCAUAAAAUAAACCCAACAAGUACAAUCGUGCAAUUGAGCCCAACUCUAAAUUUACAUAACACACUCUCUUUCAGACUUUUACUGUUGCACAUAACCCUAAAAUAUGAUAAUAUUCAAAUUUUCAAAUCCCUAAUUUUUUUUUCCUCUCUCUCUCUCUCUCUGAUCCUCACCCAGUCAGGCAGUCACCCUAGCUCACAUUUCUUAUAAUUAUUUUGUAUUUUGAACUAUUGAACAUGUUGUAUCAAAUUAUAGGUAAUGUUCUAUAAAAAAUAAAUUAUUGAUUAUAUUAUGUCGAGAAUUUCAAUCGGCUCGUUUAGAGCUCGAGCUCGGCUCGACUCGAAAUUAGGCUCGCUCGAGUUCGGCUCGAAUUAAUUUCAAGCCGAGCUUGAGCCUAGAUUUAGGCUCGAAAUUAAUUUCAAGCCGAAUUUGAGCUGACAUAAGCUCGCUCGAGCUCGGCUCGUUUCCACCCCUAUUCUUAUGUACUUAAAUUGACAUUGAUUUUACAAUAGCAAUCUUUGUAUAAAAUAAUUAAUAAAAAAAAGGGUUAAAUUUUCAACUCAAAAAUGGGAUACUUGUCAAACAAUUUUAAGAUGACAAAAAUGCUCCUUUUAAUUCAAUCCCAAGAUAGUAGGGUGAAAUGUUAAUCCAAAUUGACUUUGAUUAAAUUGACUUUAAUGAUUUCAAAGUCGUGAUUUUAUUGGACCACUUAGGGCCCGUUCGUAAUUGAGGGCAAUCAACGCUAUUACACAAAAUAGAGUUAGGGCAAAAGUUUACAAAACUAUGAUAUUUUUGAUUGAUCAUACAAAAUACAUCAUAACUAAUUUAUUACGAUAAGUGCAAUGUAAUAUUAGGUAUGAAAAUAAAUAUAAUAUAUUUUUAUCGUAUAUUCUCACCGCACUUUAACAUACCAUUCCUGCAAUUAUAAACUGAAACUAUAUGCUUGAAAACAAAAAAAAAAAAAUGGAGAAAGCCUUCUCUAUAACUAGCAAUAUAGGAUUUGUAAUAAUAUGAUCAAAUUUUGCUUUCUAUCAUUGUCUAAUGUGUAAAUUAUGAAAAUACUUUUGGCCUGAAGCAAAUAAAUUAGUUAAACUCCGAAAAACUAUUUGUUCGCAAAAAAAUUUUUCAUAAAAAAAACAUCAUUUUUAGAGUAUUUGGUUUCCAAAUAAAAACUUUGAAAAACAAAAAUACUAGCUUUUUAUCAAAUCUUAAAAAAAGGUUUUUAAGAAAACUAUUUUUUCUGUAAAUCAAAUAGACGAAAAAGUAUCUUCUAAUUAAAAAAACCUAUUUUAGAAUUUUUUUUUUAUUUGAGACCCUUUUAAUUUUUAAUUUUUUGAAUUAAAUUUUUAUAGUUAAUUAAGUUAAAAAAGUUAAUUAAAUUUAUACUCAAUUAGAUAUUAGUCUUUAAUGAAUUCAGUUUUAUAUUCGCUGAAAAAUAAUUUAAACUAGUAAAUCUAAUGAACCAUCAAUCAAUUUGGUGGCACUCCUAAUUUAUUUGGCUAAAAUUACUCAAAAUUUGAAAAUUAAAAGUCAAUAGUCUCAAUAAAUAAUAUAUAAGUGAAAAAAUGCUGCUUGUACACUCAAAUUUAGGGUAUAAAUCUUAAAAACUCAUUUUAAAUUUUUUUAAUACUAAAAAAAAGACCUGAUUAGAUUAGUAAGAAAAUAUUAGCCUCUAGAUGGAUAAGGUGCAAAAUUUAAGUUCAUUUCAUGGAUCCCUCUAUAUAAAUAGUUGAACAAGCUAUUUAAGAAUGCUCUAAACUUAAAACUUUUCAAACCAAAUAUAUAUGGCCUAAUUAAUUAGUAUGUAACCCGAAUUAAACCCCCAUUUUUUAUUGGAUUAAUACUACAUUUUCGAGUGGAAUAUUAUACAUAUCCAUGCACACUUGGUGGGAAAAGCUUGCACUACUACAAAUGGCCCCGCAUGUCCACGUCCUGAACCAAUUAUAUACCUAACCCCCGUUGAAAUAAACUUCAAUUAAUUGAUAACGAUCACGUAGGUACGUGCGAGAGAGAGUGUCUGUUAAAUAUAAAAAUAUUUAAACACCGUUCUCUAACAGCUUAAGUUUUUAGAGUACAACGGUUGUUUCAUAUAAUAUCAGAGCAGGAGGUCCUGAGUUCGAGUCACGCCAGGCUUCUAGCAUAUUAAUUUCCUCCCAUUUAAUUCAAGCCCACGUCAUGAGCCGAUUAAAAAGUCUCGAGCCCAGUCGUGAGGGGGAGUGUUAAAUAUAAAAAUAUUUAAACACCGUUCUCUAACAGCUUAAGCUUUUAGAGUACAACGGUUGUUUCACAUGGUAUCAGAGCAGGAGGUCCUAAGUUUGAGCCCGCCAGGCUCCUAGCAUAUGAUACUAUGUGAAACAACCGUUGUACUCUAAAAGCUUAAACUGUUAGAGAACGGUGUUUAAUAUUUUUAUAUUUAACACUCCUAACAUAUUAAUUUCCUCCCAUUUAAUUCAAGCCCACGUCAUGGGCCGAUUAAGCUUUUAGAGUACAAUGGUUGUUUCACAUGGUAUCAGAGCAGGAGGUCCUAAGUUCGAGUCACGCCAGGCUCCUAGCAUAUUAAUUUCCUCCCAUUUAAUUCAAGCCCACGUCAUGGGCCGAUUAAAAAGUCUCGAGCCCAGGCGUGAGGGAGAGUGUUAAAUAUAAAAAUAUUUAAACACCGUUCUCUAACAGCUUAAAGCUUUUAGAGUACAACGGUUGUUUCACAGUGUCGAGAUGUUCUAUUAAUUUGCAUGAUCUUCUACGCCGUUGCAUAGUAGGAAGAGCAUGUUUACUUUUGCUGAUGUUAGAAGCAGCAUAUAUUAAUAGUAUACUGAGAUAUUUUUAACACCUUUUUUCGCCGUUUUUGAAUAUUAUUUUUGAAUUACUUCUUUCUUAAUUAUCACCUAUAUUGAUACUUUGAGUAAAAUUAUGUCAGAGCGAAUUGAAUAAGCGAAAUCCGAGAUGCGGCCGAGUGUCUGAGGCCGAUAAUGAGAUUGGAAUUAGUAGCCGCUUCUGUCAUCCUAGACAGACAAUUCGCCACCAAAAGGAAGAGGAAAGAUGAAAGCGGAUCCCCCUGCCUUACCCCCUUUUUCACCUUAAUUUAAUUAGUGGGCUCACCAUUAGCUAAAAUGACUAUUUUGGGGUUUCAAACAUAGAGUCGGAUCUAACCACACUACUUAUCGUUGAAACCCCACCAGUUCAAGAUCUUGAAUAAGGACGGCCAGUGGAUGCAGUCGAAGGUCUUAUCAAAGUCGACCUUAACCCCAACUCCUUCUACAUUGUGUUUACUUCUCCAUCCAAAGAGCUCACGAACCAUUGGAUAAGUAUCAGUGAUAUUCCUUCCCUUCAGAAAGACCGCUUGGUUUGGGAAAAUUAGCUCCGGCAUAAUUGCAUCAAAACGGUUGGUCAAGACCUUAUAUAUAAUCUUUUGGAUCAUAAUGUAAUGUUUUUUUUUUUAUUUGUGAUUCGAUUCACCCCCACCGAGGCUCACCUCCCUCACUCAUGUAGCUUAGCUCAUUCUUUUUAUGAAUGAAGCAGAUAGUGUACUACAUUUUCUUCACAAAAAAAAAAAAAUUGCAUCAGAGUUUGUUAAUUAUCUCUCAUGCAUGUCAGUGUAUAGGCUAUGAUUCACACGAUCACCGUCAUUUGCACGAGUAAAAAAUAUUAUGAUUAUUUUUGAAUCAUUUGAUUAUUCUUUUCGAUGACAAUUUUACCUGCAACAGGAGCUUUACAUUUUUUUUUUGCCUAUUAAAUUUUUUUUUUUUUUGAAAACAACUGAGACGAAAGUAAUUAAAAGCAGAACCACUAAUUUCAACUGCCUCAGCAGCAACAUCUUUUACUGGGUAAAACCUAUUCUUUUCUCCUUUCUUGUGAGAAAGUAAAUAGUAAAACAUAUAUAAUUGAUAUCUUAUCUUAUAUCUAUAGCUCCGGGACUACGUCAACCAUCACUGGCUACUUAUACACCGGCUCUCUUCUUCCUCCUCUACUUGCACCAUACAUCCUCCAUUAUCUCUCUCUCCACCAUGGCCAUGACUGACCCAACCAAGCUUCCGAAGUUCUCGAGCUGCCGCGGCGUCUCCUUCGAGAUCCAACCCUCGCCGUCGAGCCCCUUUGCGAUCCCACCGACAUCGAACAGCCAAACCGCAAACCAGGCCGGCCGAUGGGUCUGGCUCCCGUGGUCGUCUCAAAAUGCCACUUCCACCGUCGUCCCUUCAGCCAACUCCCACCGUUCCAUGAGCCGCGCUAGCAGCCACUUCUGCGACCUCUCCGACGACGGCAACGACGACAAGGAAGAAGACCGAGUAGACGACAUCGAAGCGCAACUCGACGACGAGCAACCAGCGGAGCCAAAGAAGCAGCAAGAGCAACCGAUACUAGUGACUCCUCCGGGAAGCGCUUCUGUGAAAAAGCCGACCCCGCCGCCUCCGCAGGAGUACUCGCGCCUCGCCGUCGUACUCCUGGACCAGGGCUUGUUCACCGUCUACAAGCGCCUCUUCGCCGCGUGCUUUGCGCUCAACACAACCGCGCUAGCGCUCGCCGCCACGGGCCAUUUCGACUACGCCAAGCGGAGAGCCGCGCUCUUUGCCAUCGGCAACGUCUUAGCUCUCACCCUCUGCCGCAGCGAGGCGCUCCUCCGCGUCGUCUUCUGGCUCGCCGUCAAAGCCCUCGGCCCCGCGUGGGUCCCGAUUCCGGUCAAGACCGCCGCCACCGCCUUCCUCCAAUCCCUCGGCGGCAUCCACAGCGGCUGCGGCGUCUCCUCCGUCGCGUGGCUCGUAUACGCUCUAAUCCUCACUCUCCACCGCCGCAGCGAGACAUCGCCCGAGAUCAUCGCCGCGGCCUCUUCCGUCCUCGCCUUGCUGUCCCUCUCCUGCGUCGCUGCAUUCCCGCUCGUCCGCCACCCCCACCACAACGUAUUCGAGCGGACCCACCGCUUCGCCGGCUGGACAGUUCUCGCAAUUUUGUGGGCCUUCGUCCUCCUGACGGCCAGCUACCACCCGGACACCAAAUCCUACCACCGCAUCAACGCUUCCGAGCUCGCGAAGCGGCAAGAAUUCUGGAUUACCGUACUCAUCACCUUCUUCACUAUUUUGCCGUGGGCGACGGUGCGGAGAGUCCCCGUGUCCGUCACCGCCCCGUCGGGCCACGCUUCGAUCGUGAAAUUCUCCGGCGGGGUGAAAGCAGGCCUGCUCGGCCGCAUAAGCCGGUCGCCUUUAUCCGAAUGGCACGCGUUCGGUAUCAUAUCCGACGGCGAAGAAACCCACAUGAUGCUCGCCGGCGCGGUCGGGGACUUCACCAAGGGAUUGGUGUUGGACCCGCCGCAGCGUAUCUGGUGAACAUGUACCGGAGGGUGGUGCUCGUCGCGACCGGAUCGGGGAUCUGCGUGUUCCUGUCCUUCCUGCUGCAGCCGUGCGCGGCGGCGGUGUGCGUGGUGUGGGUGGCGAAAGGCGUGGAGGCGAACUUCGGGAGGGAGAUUACGAAUAUGGUCACCGGCGGCGGCGCCGGGUGGGGGGAGAGGAAGGCGGUGGUGCACGACACGGCGGUGCUCGGGAGGCCGAAUGUGGCAGAGAUGGCGGUGGAGGCAGCGAAGGACUGGGAGGCGGAGGUGGUGGUGGUCACCAGCAAUCCACAGGGGAGUAGUGAUGUGGUUAGGGCUUGUAAGAUGGCCGGAAUACCUGCAUUUGGACCCAUUUGGGAUUCUUAAUUUAUUUAUUUACUUAAAACACUGCUUUCUGUGCACCUACGGAUUAGAUGUAUAUCGUUCAUCCAAAAAUUUUUAUUUUCUAUUAUCUUAUUAUUUUUUAUUAUUAAAUUAAAUGAUAUCUGAUUCAAAAAAUAUUACAGUGCUCUUAAUCCAUAAACUCUUUUAUAUUUUUAAUAUAUAAAAAAACAGAAAAUAAUAAGAGAAGAAGUAAUAUAAACCCUUAUAUGAGAGAAUAGAAAAUUUAUAUUAUUCCCUUUUAAGGUGUCCAGAUAGCAUUACUCUAGUAAAAAUUCAAAACAUUUUGUGAAUCCCAAAAUGCACUGGAUGCAAGAUUUACACCCAAGGGAUAUAUAUUUGGAACACUUUUGAGUAAGUGUCUCAUUUAUACUAAAACUUAAAAAAAAUCUGCUAAUGCCUAAAUAUAAAGCCCAAUCCAACCAAAAAUAAAAGAUUACUCUACUUAACCCACCACACCCAGUCCAUUUGGCCCGAUUACAAACAGAAAAGAAAAAAAAAGAAAAAAAGAAAAAUCAAUUGCCAUCUUUUCUUCUUUCUUCACUCAAUCCACUGAAAUUUUAGACGAAUAACCUUUUCUGUCGUCCUCCUCCGCCACCGCAGCCAACGAGAUAGAGUUUCGGCGGUUGCUAAAUGUUUAAAUAAGUGUUGGUAAAUUAGCAGUACUUUUUUAGGUUAUAGCAACACUCUUUAACUGUCACUAUAUACCUAACGAUCCCACAUGUAGCAACACUUUUUAAAAGUGUCGGUAAUUUUAGCUAGCAGCAUUUUUUUGAUAUGUACCUGCAUUUAAAAGUGUCGCUAUAGACCGUUUUUAUUGUAGUGCAUGUGUAAUAUAUUUUUACAAAAUAAAUAUUAAAUAAAAGAUAAUGGAUUAUUAACCAUUUCUCUCGCGUAUUAAAAAUAGUAAACAAUUUACAAUUUUCUAUACGAACAAUCCUAAACUCUAAAUCCUAAACCGUAAACCUACAAUCAGUUACCGUUUUAUGAUUACUUUGUACGGGAUGAAUAUAACUAUUUGCCCAAAUAAAAUUUUUUAUUUUAUCUAAUUAAAAUUUCAUAAAAUUGUUUAUAAAGUUUUCCUCCAACGCUCUCGUGCUAAAAAAAGAACGCUGUUCUUCAAGUGCUACAUAUUAUUUCAACAUACCUUUUUGGUAUAUAAUUAUUUAUUGUGAUACUUUAAUAAACAUCUUUUGAAAAUGCCUUGGACGAGUCUUAUGCUAAUAUCAAUCUUCAAUAAAUUAAUUAGGAGCGAGUUCAACCGUAAAGUAUAUAGUUUAGUCAAGAGUUAUUUAUUUAAAUAAACACUUAUAAAAAGCUAACUUGUAUAAAAAAUGUCACGGGGAUUAAUUAUAGCAUUUUUAAUAAUUAAGUAAUUUAUUUCUGCUACAAUAAUUUUUAACUAAUUUAUAAUACAAUUUUUAUAAGCAGAUGCAGUUAUGCAGGGAGAUGUUACUGCAAACACAACAUUCUUCUUCAUGAAAGUAAAAUGAAAAAAAUGUGUGUAUAAAUGUCUGUUUGGUGUUAAGUAUGAUCUAAGCCUUGAAUCUCGAAUGCAGGUAAAUAUCACAAUUUUCAAUUAAAAUGUGGUUCGAACUAUUCGGUUAUCGGGUUAGUGAAGAUUUAUAGUUAAUUCUUAGUUGAAUUAGAAUAAAUAUUUAAAUCUAUUGAAGAUAAAUUAUUUAAAAUUUAGAUAUUAAUUAGAGUAGGAUUUCUAAUUUUAGUGAAUUAAGAUAUAUUUUGGGGUUAGUUAUAUAUAUAUAGCUUAUGUAUUCAGACCGUACUUGUGCACGAGUGGAUAUAAGGUAGAAAAGAGAGAAGUUUUUAUAGUUUAUAAAAAAAAAAGAGAGAGAGGAACGAGAGAGAUUCAGAAAAAGAGUUUGUUAUAAAGUUAUUUUAUUGCAUGAUAAACUAAUUUUUUUUUAUAUACUAAUUUUUUUAUCCGUAUUUUUUUAAAAAUUUUUUCUCUUUUUUUUGGCCGUGUCCGUUUUUGCUAAGAAAACGAGUUUAUGAUAAAAAUUCGAUUUGACACUUUUGUUACGAAAUCCCAACAAUCGAUAUGCGAUUUAUAACAAUUGGUAUCAGAGCGGCCGGUUACAGAUUCUCAUAAUUUAGUACAUGAUGAGUACCAGAUUUUUAAUAGUAACUAAUAUAAAAAUUCUUACAAAUAUGAGAUAAGAGCCCUAAAGCCAAAAUCACAAUAAGCGAAAAGGCAAAAAAAAAUGGUUACACCUUUGUUUUUUAUUAUUUAAGGAAAAAAAAGCUAAAAUAGAAUUCUAUACAGUGACGUAAAUAGAUUUCUCAAAUUUUUCUUCUCUUUCUCAUCGUAAUCAUCCAUUAAAAUGAUAAAAGGUUAGAAAUUUAGGAGUAUAAGAGCUGCUGUGCUCCUAAUAAUACAGUAACCCUACUCUCUCUCUCUCUCUUUCUAUAUAUAUAUAUAUAAUUUUAGCAAUGCUCUGAUACCUUACUUUAGUCUUAAUCAUUAAUUUUCAAACAAAUUUUGUACUUUUUAUUUUUUUUUUCAAGAAAAUCAAAUAGUUUCUACGACUAAACAAAGUGCCUAUACCCAUACGCAUUCCAGAAUAAUGGCCUAGUUAGGAGAAAAUAGGAAAAAGAAACAAAUUCAAUUUGCAAAUAACAAUUGAUAUUUUUCUCCAAAAGUGUUGUGGCUAAUUAGAAUUAGAAAAUAUCUAUAAAUCUAUAUGAAGUCACAAUAUUUUUUGCCAUGUGGUAUGUUAUCUUUCAUUCUCAUAGUUAAACUUUAAAUUAAACCACCUUUUCCUCUUCUCGACGCCCAACUCUUCAUCUUCCCACUCCUCUAAUUAUAUGUAAGGUGCAAUAUUUAAUUACAUGCACCAUAUUAAUAUUUUAUUAAUAAGUGAGCUUUAUAACUUCUAACUAUAAUUUUAUUUUUUUAACAGUUGAAUUUAGUCAUGCAAAUUGGUUGUACUUAAUAUGGUAUAGCUUUCUAUAUAUUAAUAAGCUGUAAAUAUAAAUUUUAUUAAAAUUUUAAAAUUUUGCUUUUAGUAUUUACUUGCUGUAUCGUGCGGGUCUUUACACUAGUAUUAAAUAAGUUUUGAAAACAAAUGAUCGAAUUACCAUAUGUAUCUUCUGUUGUUUUGAUGUGCUUCGCUGAUUCAUCAUUAUUAUCCUAAUAAAGAAAUUUUACUACAACAAUUUUUUUGUCUUUUUUCAUAUGAAAAUGAUGAGAAAUAUCCAUCAUAUUAUCAAUGCUACAUUUGAGGCACAAAUUUAUGCUUUACGUAAUUUGCUCAUAUAAUAUGUAGUAGGUCAUUAACCUGAACAAUUUUAAAAAAAUAAUUAAAUUUUAAAAAAAUCUUUAAAUAAAUUUAAUUUUUUUAGGAAAAUUUUUUUGCAUCAGAACUUUUUUACUUAAUGUAGUGCACCAUGAUUAAGGACACAAAUUGAUUUGUUUUUGUUAGUUUCUGCUUUUAUUUUCAGCGAUCAUAAUUUUUAUCAAAAAUUUAAUAUUAUACAAUUUUAUUUGGAUUGACAUAAUUAUAAAUAUAUUGAAAAUCAAAAAUUUGAAAGAGUAAAAAAAUGCUAAUCUCGUCAUCAAUUAGCAUGACAACAGAGAGACUCUUCACGACAGAUAACAAAAUUAGUAUUUUUUAUUUUUUUAUAAAAAUUUAAUUUACGGUGGAAUUUUAACUUCAUUAAAAUAAAAAAAAAUUCUAAACCUUUAAAAAUAGAAAGUUUUAAAUUUAAGCAUUUUCAACUCAAGCGGCCACAAGCUUCUGAUGGCCGUUUCCUGUUUCAACCUCCACUGCGCCGUCCCCAACCUCCGUCUCCUUCCUCCGCCUCCUCCUCAAUCCGAAACCCUAACCCUAACCCUAACCACAACCCGUUGCCACCACCCAUCACCUUCGCUUCCCCGCGUCACCGCCCCUCCCUUCCACGCGAGAAGGAGAGCCCUCUUCUCCUCCUCCAUUUCCCACUCCCCUUCUCCCUUCCCUCGACCCUUCGCGUCGACAGCUUCGACAAUGGAGGGUACGGCGAGAGUGGAGGACCACGAAGCCUCCUCCAUGAAGCUCCUCUUCGUGGAGAUGGGCGUCGGCUACGAUCAACAUGGGUUGGCUAUGCUCUCUCUCUCUCUCUCUCUCUCUAGCUCAAUCCCUCUCUCCCUCUCUCCAUUAUCGCUUUGUUAACUCGUAUUCGUAAUUAGACAAGAUAUCACUGUGGCGGCUAUGAGAGCUUGUAGGGAUGCGAUCUCUUCCAAUUCCAUUCCUGCGUUCCGGCGAGGUAUCGGCUCCUUCGUUCCCAAAAUGAGCUCUAUUUCGCUUUUUUUUUUUUUAUUUUGAUCUUUUGAGGGAAUUUUUAGCUACACUGUUGUUGUGAUUUGGUAAAGUGCUGAGCAUGCUUGUUUGUGCUUGUUGCGUUUGGUGGUAAGUGAUCCGAAGCUUUUGGUGUUUUGGGGAAUUAAGGUUUAUUGGUUUUUGUGGGUUGGUAGUGAAACUAAUCUUAUUUGAAGGACUUUAGUGGCUGGGAUGAAUUAAUAUGGAGAUCUGGGGUUGAAAUUAGGAUUUUGAUUUUACUCCCUUGCAGGGUCGAUACCGGGCGUUAAUUCAGACCAGAUGAAGCUUCAGAUCAAGUUAGGGGUUCCUCGAUCGACCCAGCAUUUGCUCGAUGCCGAGAGGGUGAAAUCCAUCUUUCCUUAGUAAGUAUUCUAUUUCUUUUUGUUUAUUUUUGAAUUUCUUAGUGAGGAUAUGCUGGGUAAAAUUUUUAUGUGUUAUAGUAUGAUGCGGUUUCCUAGUUCGGCCUGGUCAUGCUUAGGUUAAUCUGUAUGAAGCAUGAUCUGAAAUCAUUGAAGAAAUUAAAAUGGAUGUUGUGCGUCUUGAAAUUUUGAAAUGAACAUGAUAAGGUAGCUCUUUAGCGAGAUAUGGGCAUGAAAUGGACUCAUUUUUUCUGUCAAAUUUCCUAGAUUGCAGAUUCCUUUCCUUUUGUAAUUUGGUAAUAGCAUAUAAGCAAUUGGGCUACAUUCCCUUCUUUUUCUGCAUUCAAGAAGGAAAGGCUAGAGAACAACCUUUGUGGGGCUGGUAAAACAGAAAUGCAAAAUGCAUGUUGAGUAGGAAAGAUGAUGAUAAACCCUGUGUUACCUGAACUAAUUUUGGUUUUAGCUGCUUAGGGUGCAUCUGCAAAAUAGGGAAAGGCAUGUGUGCAGAUAAGAAUGUGUUGAUAAAUCAAUAAAAUUCGUGGAUAUUGGGACUCGUGUGGUCAACAUUUAACUCCAUGUAAAAGCCAAUAUGAGAAAAUUCUACCACUUAUGCCCAAUAUGCCUCUUCAUCAUCACACAUAUGUUGGUCGUUUCCUUCUAUCCUGCUACAAUCUCCGCAGAAUGUGUGGCUAUGUACAGAUUGAAACUUGUGACGAAGAACAUACUAAGAUAGUAGUUUAAAUCAUGUUUACAUUCUUAUCGAGUGAUGAUUUUCCAUUUACUUGGGGUAACCAAAACAGGGAUCGAAUGUACUGUUUUCUUAAGAAAAUAUUGGGUUUAAGGCAUACUUGAAUCCCUAGUUGUCUUUGGCACCAAGAACGCUGGGUACUUUGAUUGUAUAGUAAACAUUUUAUCUGAUCCAUGUUCGUUCUUCUUAAUGCAUGUCGCCUCUGUAUUUUAAUGCACUAGGAAAUUUCCAAGUAAUCUAUUAUGACUGCCGAUUACUUAGUCACCUACCAACUUCUAGGGAGGAAAGGGCAUUAUGGACCAUUUAAGAUACAAGAAUAUUUUAAGCUUUAACUUGUUCGGUAGCCAAGAAAACAUCAAUUAUGUGACACCAUUCAAAUUGUGGUGUUAGGAGAUAACAGUAAAUAAGGAUUUCGUUGAUCCAUGACUAAUUAGCAGAUUUACUGAAUUAGGUCAUUUCUUGAACUUCAUAACCUACAAGAUUGCCAAGAUUUCUUGGUAAGUCAUUGGUCUUUUGCUAGUUUGAUGGCGUCAGAGGCUAUUAUUGAAUUUUUUAAAGGAGAAUUGCCAUAUGUUUUCUUUAUGGACCUUUCAUUUGAACUUGCUUGUUCAACUGUGUCCAUUUCAAACUUGUCUCAUUUACAAACUUUGUCUAUUUUCAUUUAAUAUAACGAAAAAACCUCAGAAGCCGAGAAAGAAAGUGAGCAGGAGAGAGAUCUAUUCACUACCAUGAACCAUCCUAGAAAACUAGAAAUAAAAUAUAAAGGUGAUACAUGGCCUCAGAAUUUUACUGACGUUGUAGGUCGUGCUGACUUAUGAUCGUGACUUUUUGAUGCGAUCUCCAGGGUGUGAAAUUUCAUAGCAAUGAGAUUUAUUUAAUCGUUUAUAAAGAGGCGGUAUGAAAAGCUUCUAUCAAAUACUGUAGACUGUUUAAUCACUCUAUGGCGGUCAACCUGGUUUAAGUUGUUGCUUCAUGAGAAUGCUUUUCAUGAUCUAGACUACUGUUAAGUUGUUACUUCUUUAGAUUUUUGAGAAGUUAAAUGUAGAAAUGACCCAGAUCUUUCGGCCAUUUCGUUAAUAAACAUAAAUUCUACUCUUUGUUACUUGAAUUUUGAGAAUGAUCAACUCAACCAAUGAACACAUUUCUUACAAUGAUUGUCUCUUUAUGUUGUAGUGGUAAGAUUAUUAGUUUUGAGGUCGUCGACGGAGGGAUGAUAUGCUCAAGUGGUGUAUGCCUCGAAGCAAUGGGAGAUAAAAAUGAUGAUUGCUAUAUAGUCAAUGCUGCUGUUUAUGUAGGUUAUUGAUGUUUUCAUUAGUCUCUUAUUUUUAUUUCUCAUAUGUAGAAUAAUCUCCUAUGUGGAAUGUGCUCUCUAUAUGCUUUAUAUUUGUACAUUGUUAGCUUGUAAUUGUAUUAAAGAUGUUCUCUUUUUUGAAAACAAACUUAGAAUUUUUUGUUUGGUGGCUGGAGAAUAUGUACAUCGAAACUUAGUUCAAGUGUGCGUAUUUUAAGUAAUGGAAGUCCAUGUUUGCAAAGGGAAACACCAAACUGAGCCCAUAUUUUGGAACAUGAUAAUAUGCCUUAAUUUCUGGGUACAAUGUAGGAUAUGACCCCCAAUGGUGUCGUUUUCGUCAAUUGAAUUGAAUGUUUUAUGAAAAUUAAUUUCUCUAUUUGCUAUUUAUUGAUAAUUAUCUUCCAGAGAAAAGUUGUUAGAUGCAUGAAACUGUAAAUACGUAUGUUUUGUUUGGUUAGACGUAGUUAGAAGCGAGGACUACGACUAUAAAUAAUUUGAUUGGUUGCAUAUGUUAGGAGAUUAUAUUUACACAUUUUAUUACUAUACGUGCAUAGAGGUAGGUUAGAAUACUUUGAAGUAUUUGGGCUUCGGUACUAUUCUGUUAUUUUCAGCGAUAGAGCGCCUGAAUAUGAUAGGGAGAUUAAUUUUUUCUUACAAGAAAAGUAUUUGUUUGUUUAGAAGGUGGUUACUAGACAUGUAAGCAUUUUGUUUAAAAUUACUCUUUCUAGCUGUAAAACUUAAAAUUACAGCUAAUUUGAACGUGAUUUUAAUUGCUGCAGUUGAGUUGUCUUGACUAUUUUAAAAUGCAUUUAAUUAUAUUCAAAUACAUCAAACUAAAUACCACCCUUAGAUCCGCACACAAAUUAAAAUUAUAAUAUAACUGUAAUAUCAUUAAGAUCAAACAGCUCCAAAGUUAAUUUUUUGUUAUGUCAAAUCUACAAAUCUAUAUGAAGACACAAUAUUUUUUGUCAAGUGACAUGUUAUCCUUCAUUCUCAUAGCCCCAUUUUAAAUCAAACCACUCUUCUUUAAAUCGAACCACUCUUCUAAACCGAAUAAAUUCUAAAUCGGACCGCUCUUCUAGCACAUUUGAACCAAACUAAUGAACCGCCUCUCUCUGAAUCGAAUCGAAUUGCUCACUAUCUAAAAUAAACUGAACCACUAUGCUUUUUUUCUACGGAAACCAAACCAAAUAAAUUCUAAAUCAGAUUGCUCUUCUAGCACUUGAACCUAACCGCUCAUUGCUUCUCUAAAUAUAUGAACCGAAUCAAUGAACCGCCUCUCUGAAUCUUUGAACCGAACCGAACCUCACCAUAUAUUAAUCCCCAAUAUUUUGGGUAACGUGGCACAACUUUCUUUUUUUGGAGUUUUUUUUUUUCUUUCUUAUGUCGGUCUCUCUUCUCUCUCUUCCACUCCCUCCAAAUCCAACGUCUCCUUAUCUUCCCCAUCGCUUCUUCUCUUUUCAACGCCUAAUCCUUCAUCUCCCCAGUCCUCUAAUUACAUGUAAGAUGCAACAUUUUAUUACAUCCAUCAUAAUAUUCCAUCAAUGAGUGGGCUUUGUAACUCUAAUCCACUCCCCUUCUCUAUUAAUCCCUUGCCUCUUUUGCAUGCACCAUAAGAAAAAUAUUAUCGUCUAAUCUCCCACCCCACAUUCAUCUCCCUCUCUCUCUCAUUGUAUUAACGAAGAUGAUGAGAACGAAGAAGAAGAAGAAGAAGAAGAAGAAGAAGAGCCUGCGAAGAACGUUGUCUCAUUCGAGAAGCAUCAUUUCACGAAGCCAAGCUGCAACCCAUAUAAGUGCCCGUUGAGCCAGUCCGCGUCGGGGCCUCCGUUCACCGUGAACCGCCGCCGCCUCGGCUGCCUCCUCGUGUGGCUCAUGCGCGCCCACAACUGGGCCAAGGCGAGCGGUGUCCUGAGCCUCCGGCCUCUUCAAGGGCCGGGGACGCUGCGGGGGAGAUCGCUUCUCGAGGAUAGCAGAAACUUUUUGAUAAAUCCAAAUUGUUUAAAAAUUAGGAUUUCUGUGGUUAAUGUGAUGGUAAGGCUAUGUCGGUUUAGAUAUUGCAGUUUGGUGAUGCAGAUGAGAUGUUUGUUUAUAGGUCGCAAUGUAAAUUCAGAAGCGACUCGGCGCGGGGGAGCAAUUACCAGUUGAAAAUUAGAAGAUGUAUAAGAUUUGGAUGAGCAAGCUCGCGUAGAUGAAGAAGUGCUCAUAUUAGUUUUUUUUAUUUAUAUUUAUAUUUUAUUUUUAUUCUAUGAUUAUUUUUUUGAGUAGGCGCUGUUAUGAGCAAAGUCCCUUUCGUAGAUUAAGAAGUAUGAUGUGGAGACUGGAACCUGAAAUUUCAGCUAAAAUUUUUUUAAGCCAGAUACAUUAACUUAUUAUUUAUGUGUUCAUACCUUAAUCUGUUUUGAUACUUGGAUAAGGGUGCUUGAUUCAGCCGGAGCUAACAUAUUUUUUAUCUUUCACAAUAGAAUAUUCAAGAGGCAUAUAGUACGAUAAAAUUUUAUGUAUCUUACUGUAUUUCAAUAAUUAAAAAAAAUAUAUAAAUUUUUAGCUAUAAUUUUAUUUUUUUAACAGUUGAAUUUAGUCAUACAAAUUGGCUACGCUUAACAUGGUAUAACUUCAUAUACAUCAAUAAGCUAUAAAUAUAAGUUUUAUUAAAACUUUAAAAUUUUGUUUCUAUUAUCUACCCGCUGCAUCGCGUGGGUCUCUAUACUAGUAGACAAUUAAUCUCGAAUAAAUUUGAACAUCAUUAUUAUGAUUAAAUUUUUAAGGGCUGAUUUUCGUAUUAUAACAAGAGGAAGUCUAGUCCAGCCAAUAAUUUCCCUCAGCAUGUUGUUGGUCGACACGUCUGGAAUGUCACGUCAAGAUUAUAUUUGGGGAAUAAGCGUGGCUUAUUCGUGGAAUUGAAUUUUACUGUAUAACAGUCCCAUAAUGUCAUUUAUAACUAGCUAAUCAUAUUUUCCUAUUUGAAAAAAAAAAUUAUAAUAAAAAUAUUUUUUAACAAUCAAAUCUAAAAAAAAUAAUUUAAUUAGUUGGUAAUGCUAUAACAGCAAUAUAACUAAUGCAUGCAUUUUAAAUUAUUUUGUGCUAUUUCUAGCAGUACUUUACAAAAUUAGCAAUACAUUUAAUACUUUUUUUAUUUGA